GUGUCUUGUGCAAUUAGAUUACAUUUCUGUUUGUUAUGGUAAUAUAAAAAAUAUUCAUGCUGUCAAAAUUUUCACAGUGCGUGCCUUUCAUUUCUUUAGUUUGAUUGUUUCCCUUGUAUUCAAUAUGCUUCUAGUGGCUGAUCCUUCCAUUUUUGUUAUGGCAUCUUUAUUUUCACAGGUGUUGUGUGUUCUGGAAGAUGGAAGAGGAAGAAAACCUAUUUUUGUUGAACUAAAUUUUCUGUAUUCUGUUUUGUUGUACGUAUCAUUUGAUAGUUUUGUAUAGGAACAAGUGAUACUAUUUUGUAGGGCUUUAUGGCCUGUGAUGUAAACAUAUUUAGUGCUGAAAUAUGAAAUUAUUUGCAAAAUUUGUCAAAAAGGUGGAUCAUAUGUAUGAAUAUGUGAAUGGGCUGAAAAGAGUACUGGACCAACUCCAGGAUUGAAUUAAUAUUUGAAUGUAUAAAAAGGCUGAAUGUAAACCAGAAAUGGGCUGCACAAAAUUGUACAUAUAUUCUUGAAAGGCCAAACGUGCAUAAAAAUUGAUGGGCUGACCAGUUGGGCUUGGCCCAUGUAGCAGAAAAAAAUUAACAGAAAUAAAUAUACCAAAUGGGCUGAAUUGUUGGGCUAGGCCCAUGUAGAAAACUGAAUUGGACCGGGCUGAAUCUUGUGCCACAUCAGCUUGCCACGCUGGAUGCCUACGUGGACUGGGGAGGUUGCUAGUGACCAAAACAGAACAAUAGGCUUAUUUUGGUCAUAAACGUUUGCGACCAUUCCAGAAGAAAGGUCGCUAUAGUCAGUUUACGACGGCCAGCUUUUGACCUUAUCUUUUUGGUCACAAAAAGGUCACAAAUGGAAAUUUGUGACCAUUCAGUGACCAAUAGUGGUGGUCACAAGUUGACAUAUUUCUUGUAGUGCGUCCUCUCCAUAGCCGUUUAGGACUUGCCUAUAAUCUAGGAGUCCUAGACACGGUUGGGUUACCCACGACCGCAUUAAUGAGAAUCCCGUAAUUGGGGGAACACGAUCUCUGCUUUGACAAGACGUGUCAAGAAACCGCCUUGCGUUAUGUGUGGAGCUGGUUGAAGAAAAACGGUUCGAAUAAUCACCGGGCCAUGACAUAACGUCAUGCUGCCAAAAUAAGUCGGAAAAUUGGAUUUGCGAAAAUAUUAUUCUCUCUAUGGCGGUAUGUGGGACUUAUUUUGCAGGGUCGGACACUAUCCUCGUAUUCAAAUUCUUCUGUGAUGUAUUCGGAGAAGGAACCCGCCUUGCAAUGCCGAAGACAAUACUGCGCGCCGGACUCAUCGUCAUUGAAGCCUGGUUCAGGGGCUACUGAGGGAGUCCUGGAUUAAGGGGUCUCUAGAUAGCCGGACUAUCUCCAUUGGCCGGACUGUUAGACUAUGAAGAUACAAGACUGAAGACUUGUCUCGUGUCCGGAUGGGACUCUACUUGGCGUGGAAGGCAAGCUAGGCAAUACGGAUAUGGAUAUCUCCUCCUUUGUAACCGACCUUGUGUAACCCUAACCCUCUCCGGUGUCUAUAUAAACCGAAGGGUUUUAUUCCGUAGGACAACAAUCACAACAUACAAUCAUACCAUAGGCUAGCUUCUAGGGUUUAGCCUCUCUGAUCUCGUGGUAGAUCUACUCUUGUACUACCGAUAUCAUCAAUAUUAAUCAAGCAGGACAUAGGGUUUUACCUCCAUCAAGAGGGCCCGAACCUAGGUGAAACAUCAUGUCCCCUGCCUCCUGUUGCCAUCCGGCCUAGACGCACAGUUCGGGACCCCCUACCCGAGAUCCGCCGGUUUUGACACCGACAACUACCCCAUCUCACAUGAUGAUCAGACAUGGGUUAGUUGAUUUGGAUCAUGUAUCACUUAGAUAACUUGAUGGAUGUUUAUUUAAGUGGGAGUUCUUUAGUAAUUUGAUGAAUUGAAUUUAAUUUAUCAUGAACUUAGUCUUAAUAGUUUUUGCUUAUCUAUGUUGUAGAUCAAUAGCUCGUGAUAUAGCUCCCCUAUAUUUUUGAUAUGUUCCUAGAGAAAACUAAGUUGAAAGAUGAUGGUAGCCAUAAUGCGGACUGGGUCCGUGAUCUGAGGAUUAUCCUCAUUGCUGCACAGAAGAAUUAUGUUCUUGAUGCACUGCUAGGUGACAGACUUGUUGCAGGAGCAGAUGUAGAUGUUAUGAACGUUUGGUGAUAACCCACAAGUAUAGGGGAUCAAUUGUAGCCUCUUUCGAUAAAUAAGAGUGUCGAACCCAACGAGGAGCUAAAGGUAGAACAAAUAUUCCCUCAAGUUCUAUCGACCACCGAUACAACUCUACGCACGCUUAACGUUCGCUUUACCUAGAACAAGUAUGAAACUAGAAGUACUUUGUAGGUGUAACGAGAUAGGAUUGCAAGAAUAUAAAGAGCACGUAAAUAAAAACUAGGGGAUUUGUUAGGUAAAGAAGCAAUAAAGUUAGUAUAGCGAGUGUGGAAAAGUGGUGGUAGGAGUUGCAAAAUUGUCCCUAAGGAAUUGACAAUGUUACUAGACCGACAGCAAGUUUUAUGUGGGAGAGACCACUGCUAGCAUGCCAUACCUGACUUGGAAUUCUAUGCACUUAUGAUUGGAACUAUUAGCAAGCAUCCGCAACUACUAACAUUCAUUAAGGUAAAACCCAAUCAUAGCAUUAAGAUAUAUUGGUCCCCCUUCAAUCACGUAUGCAUCAAUUUCUAUGCUAGGUUGAAGCUUCUGUCACUCUUGCCCUCCAAUACAUAGUCCUAUCAACAUACAACUAACCCUAUGGUGUGAUCCACGCGCGCGCUCAUAUGAUGGGCACCAAAGGACAACAACAUAACCACAAGCAAAUUAAACCAAUCAUAGCAAUUCACCAAUCACCGAUAGGACAAUGAAAAUCUACUCAGACAUCACAGGAUGGCAACACAUCAUUGGAUAAUAAUAUGAAGCAUAAAGCACCAUGUUCAAGUAGAGGGUACAGCGGGUUGUGGGAGAGUGGAGUGAUGGGGUUAUGUACCUAGGGUAGGGUCAUGGACCUGAUCCAAGUAACUUACCCCAGGACAUCCUUAGAAGAGGUCGCCUUCCAGUCGACCAACGAGGAUUCACUCGACUGGCCUGAAGGACUCGACCACGAAGACUCACUCGACCACCAGGAGGUCAAGAGGCACUCUACACUGCAACGGCCUGUAAUCAAGUAGACUUUAUGAUAGUAAAGGCCUUUAUGUUGGGCGUUACCAGUAACGCCCCAGACUUAACUCACCUUAAACCCUCUCCUACGUGGGCUGGCUGGGGUCCUGGCGCACUCUAUAUAAGCCACCCCCCUCCACAGGCAGAAGGGUUCGGCACCUUGUAGUUCAUACAUUCAUAAUCCACUCAACCGCCUCCGGGCUCCGAGACGUAGGGCUGUUACUUCUUCCGAGAAGGGCCUGAACUCGUACAUCCUUUGUGCUUACAACCUCUCCAUAGCUAGGACCUUGCCUCUCCAUACCUACCCCCCACUCUACUGUCAGGCUUAGAACCACGACAGUUGGCGCCCACCGUGGGGCUCGUGUUUUAGCGAUUUUGUGGAGAAGUUGCGAUUCUUCCGAGUACUUUCAUCAUGGUGUCUGCUGGAGUUUUGGUCGAGGGUCAAGAGAUCCGUCUCGGCACUCUCACCUUCAUCGCCGACGACUCCGCAUGGCUCCAGGAGGCUCCACUCGACGUAGAUGCGCUCCCCGUCCGCGGUGCGACGCAUUUUCGCGCAUGUGUCCGUGGCGUUCUGCUGCGGCAACCAUCGACCCAGUAUCGGUCGGCUCCUCCAUCGUCCAUCCUCCCGGUCUCCCGCCAGCGCAAGCGCUCAGGCCGGUCGAGGCUUCAGCGAUGGGUGAGUCACGCGGUGGCUCGCCAAUCGGCCACUACCCAAGUUGCGGCAAUCGAGCCCAACGAAUCUCUCUACGGCUUGUUCGAUCAUUCGACUGGCUCCGUAGAGACUGCAUCCGAGUGCGGAAGCAGUGAUCCAGCGGCGGAAAUCUUGAUGGUCGACGGGCCCCACAGCCCUCCUGGCUUCGCCCGUGGUGGUGGAGCAGGUGACGGCGGCGACCCUGCAUGAGGCUACGAAGAGUACCAGCCCGAGCCACUCGACUCUCUGCAAAGGGAGGAACUUCGCCGCAGGAACGAGGAUCCCCUGCGUAUUCCCAUCGCAGGAGAAACCCCCGAGGCUCGUGCCUUGGAGGAGGCGCGUCUGGCCAAUUUGGCCGAGCGCACUCGACUGGAGAACCUUCAGCGAGCACUCGACGAGCGCGCGCGGCAACGAGUUCCCGACACCAGUCGACGUCAACUCUUCCCGCCGACUCAGGUAUAUCGAACCCCAAUUCAGAAUUUAGCAGUUGCGGCCCGUAUAGCAGAGUCCGUCCAGCCUUCGCAGUCGGAAGCUGGCAGAGGUUUGCUGCAGAUCAGGGAUCUACUCCGGGCAGCAGGAGAUCAGAAUUCAGCCGUGUCUCAGUCGCGCAACAGAAUUCACAGUCGAUCCGUCACUGUGAAUACGGUUCAAUCGACUCACAGCCCCAGAUCGCCUCCGUGGCACGAAGGGCGCGAGAAUCGACGAGAUCAAUAUGGCGACAGAUUCGACCGAGAUGAUAGGCGUCGAGCGCCCUAUUCCCCUCCGAGGGGUGGGUCUUACGCUCCUCGGCAGCCAGAUGAUAGGCGUCAGUACAGUACAGGGCGUAGGGUUCCAGUUGACCCCAGAGAGCCAGGCUUCGACGCGCGAUCCAUUAUCGUGCAAGGGUUGGUCGACCGGAACAGAGCCCAUCGAGGCGCACUCGACAGAGAUGUACCCACAAGCAUUCGAGUGCAUGUUUCUGGUCCUGAAUGUUUCAGCAGAGCUAUCAGAGCCGCAGUUAUGCCCCCCAAUUUCAGGUUGGCAACAGGAGUCAGCAAGUUCACUGGUGAGUCUAAGCCUGAAACUUGGCUUGAAGACUACCGAGUGGCAGUUCAGAUUGGUGGUGGGAACGACGAGGUGGCCAUGAAACACUUGCCUCUCAUGCUGGAAGGUUCUGCCAGGGCAUGGUUGACUCAAUUACCUCCUAGCAGCAUUUACACUUGGGAAGAUCUGUCCCGAGUGUUCAUCAAAACGUUUGAAGGGACUUGCAAGCGACCAGCUGGAUUGACAGAGUUGCAAGUCUGCGUGCAGAAAACUAAUGAGACUCUCAGAGAGUAUAUUCAGAGGUGGAUCACUUUGCACCACACUGUGGAAAAUGUCUCUGAUCAUCAGGCAGUAUGCGCCUUCAAAGACGGCGUCAAGAACAGAGAACUGAGUUUGAAAUUUGGUCGAACCGGUGACAUGACCUUGAGUCGGAUGAUGGAGAUUGCUACCAAGUACGCCAACGGUGAAGAAGAAGACCGAGUCCGAAGCGGCAAGCACAAGCCGAGUCAGUCGGAAAAAGGAAACACCAGUCGGAAACAGAAGCGGAAGGCUGAACCGGCAGCUCCUGGAGAGGCUCUGGCCAUGACUCAAGGAAAGUUUAAGGGGAAACCAAAAGGAUCCUGGAACCCCAAGAAGGUAAAGGAUAAAGAAGGGAACGACGUGAUGGACAUGCCAUGUCACAUUCACACGAAGAAAGACGAAGAGGGGAAUAUCAUUUACCCAAAGCACACCACUCGCCAAUGUCGACUCCUGAUCCAGCAGUUUCAGGGAAAACAGUCUAAGGACAAGGAGAAGGAGUCGGACAAGGCCGAAGAUAAAGAGGACAGUGAGGGAGGAUAUCCGCAUAUCAACUCCACUCUGAUGAUCUUUGCAGAUGUGGAAAGCAGAAGUCGACUGAAAGUGAUUAACCGAGAGGUGAACAUGGUUGCCCCGGCAAAGGCAAAUUAUCUGAAGUGGUCUCAAACACCCAUCACAUUCGACCAAUCUGAUCACCCGACUCAUAUUGCCACCCCUCGGAGGCAAGCUUUGGUGGUCGAUCCAGUUGUCGAAGGCACUCGACUGACAAAAGUGCUGAUGGAUGGUGGAAGUGGGCUGAAUCUGUUAUAUGCAGACACAUUGAAAGGUGUGGGCAUUCCGAUGUCCCGACUGAGCACUAGUAACAUGAGCUUUCAUGGAGUUAUACCAGGGAAGAAGGCCGAGUCACUCGGCCAGAUAGCUUUGGACGUAUUGUUUGGUGAUUCGAAGCAUUUUCGCAAAGAAAAGUUGACGUUUGAGGUCAUGGAUUUUCAAAGUGCAUAUCAUGCCAUUUUGGGGAGACCAGCCUAUGCACGGUUCAUGGCUCGACCAUGUUACGUGUACCUCAAAUUGAAGAUGCCCGGCCCCAAAGGAGUGAUCACUGUCACCGGUGAUAGGAAAAAGGCAGAGGAGUGCUUUCAGAAGGGCUCCAAGAUUGCCGAUUCCCAAGUGACAGCGGUCGAGUUCGAAGAAUACAAGCAAAACGCAGAUCCGAGUGACUUGCUGCGAUCCAAGAAGCCCGCCACAGAGUCUGCAUUCCAGUCGUCCGGUGAGACGAAGCCUGUUCACAUUCACCCGACCGACCCCGAAGCAGCUCCGACCCGCAUCUCCACAACACUCGACCCAAAAUAGGAAGAAGCGCUCAUCCAGUUCCUCCGUGAGAACUGGGACAUUUUUGCAUGGAAGCCCGCUGACAUGCCAGGUGUUCCCAGGGGACUGGCUGAGCAUCGCCUAAGAGUCUACUCGUCUGCAAAACCAGUCAAAGAGCAUCUUCGGCGGUCCGCCGUCCAGAAGAGAAAGGCCAUCGGUGAAGAAGUGGCUCGACUGUUGGCGGCAAGAUUUAUCCGAGAGAUAUACCACUCCGAGUGGCUCGCUAAUGUCGUCAUGGUUCCUAAGAAGGACAAGUCGCUCCGAAUGUGCAUUGAUUUCAAGCACAUCAACCGGGCCUGCCCGAAAGAUCACUUUCCUCUCCCUCGCAUAGAUCAAAUUGUUGACUCGACCGCGGGAUGCGAGAGGUUGUCUUUUUUAGAUGCUUACUCCGGGUACCACCAGAUCCGUCUGUACGGGCCCGAUGAGGUAAAAACAGCUUUCAUCACUCCAUUCGGGUGCUUCUUCUAUAUCACCAUGCCAUUCGGCCUCAAGAAUGCCGGAGCCACAUUUAUGCGAAUGAUUCAGAAGUGUCUACUCACUCAAAUCAGUCGGAAUGUGGAAGCUUAUAUGGAUGAUAUUGUUGUCAAGUCACGAAAAGGUUCCGACCUGCUCGCUGACCUCGCUGAAACAUUUGCCAACCUCAGAAGGUAUGAUAUCAAGCUCAAUCCAUCAAAGUGCACAUUUGGAGUUCCUGGUGGCAAGUUACUCGGUUUUCUCAUUUCCGAACGGGGAAUCGACGCUAACCCAGAGAAGAUUGGCACUAUUCUCCGAAUGAAACGCCCUGUGCGAGUGCACGAUGUCCAGAAGCUUACUGGAUGCUUGGCCGCAUUAAGUCGAUUCAUCUCACGACUCGGUGAAAAGGCACUGCCUCUUUACCGACUGAUGAAGAAGGCUGACAAGUUCGAGUGGACUCCAGAAGCUGAUGCAGCGUUUGCCGAGCUAAAAGCUCUGCUCUCCACCCAGCCGGUGCUUGCUGCUCCAAUCAGCAAAGAGCCUCUGUUGCUCUACAUCGCAGCCACAGGACAAGUCGUCAGUACUGUGCUAACGGUCGAGCGGGAAGAAGAAGGAAAAGCUCUCAAAGUUCAGCGCCCAGUGUAUUAUUUGUCUGAAGUCUUGACUCCAUCCAAGCAGAGAUAUCCUCAUUAUCAGAAGCUUGUGUAUGGAAUAUACAUGACCACAAAGAAGGUUGCUCAUUAUUUCUCUGACCAUUCCAUCACAGUCAUCAGCGACGCUCCACUAUCAGAGAUUUUGCACAACAGAGAUGCAACUGGUCGAGUGGCCAAAUGGGCGAUUGAACUUCUUCCCCUUGAUAUCAAGUUUGAGGCAAAGAAAGUCAUUAAGUCCCAGGCGAUAGCAGAUUUCCUCGCCGAGUGGAUUGAACAACAGCAGCCGACUGAAGUUCACUCGGAGCAUUGGACCAUGUUUUUUGAUGGCUCUAAGAUGUUGAAUGGUUCCGGUGCUGGGGUUGUCCUGGUUUCCCCCGGAGGAGAUAAGCUCAGAUAUGUGCUCCAGAUUCACUUUGAUUCCUCCAACAAUGAGGCAGAAUAUGAGGCCCUCCUAUAUGGGUUGUGCAUGGCCAUUUCACUCGGCGUCCGUCGCCUAAUGGUCUAUGGCGACUCGGAUUUAGUGGUCAAUCAGGUGAUGAAAGAGUGGGACGUGAGAAGCCCAGCCAUGACUGGAUACUGCAGUGCAGUGAGGAAGCUGGAAAAGAGGUUCGAGGGGUUGGAGCUCCAUCAUAUACCCCGACUGAAAAAUCAAGCAGCUGAUGAUCUAGCAAAGAUAGGUUCCAAGAGAGAAGCCAUUCCGAGUGGUGUGUUCUUGGAGCAUAUACACACUCCGUCAGUCAAAGAAGAUCCUUUCAUCGAAGAAACUCCGCAGCCCACACAGCAUCAUCACGGAUACGGACACCGGUACUGCUGUUAGCUUCAUCAGGGAACUAAUAUUCAGAUAUGGUGUCCCACACAGCAUCAUCACGGAUAAUGGGUCGAACUUUGACUCAGAAGAAUUCAGAGAUUUCUGCAACUCCCAAGGCACACGGGUCGACUACGCUUCAGUCGCCCAUCCGCAGUCGAAUGGACAAGCAGAGCGAGCUAAUGGACUGAUUCUUAAGGGAUUGAAGCCUCGACUAAUGCGUGAUCUCAAACACGCGGCUGGAGCUUGGGUCGAUGAACUUCCCUCUGUACUCUGGGGACUGCGGACCACACCUAAUCGGUCGACCGGAAGAACUCCAUUCUUCUUGGUCUACGGAGCCGAAGCGGUCUUACCAAGUGAUCUUCUGCAUAAUGCUCCCCGAGUCGAAAUCUACAACGAAGCAGAAGCUGAACAAGCGCGGCAGGACGCAGUCGACCUUUUAGAGGAAGAAAGGGAGAUGGCUCUGAUCCGGUCGACCAUCUACCAACAAGAUCUGCGCCGUUUCCACGCCCGAAAUGUGAGAGGUCGAGCCUUCCAGGAAGGAGAUUUGGUUCUCCGAGUGGAUCAGCACAAACCACACAAGCUGGCUCCUUCUUGGGAAGGCCCCUUCAUAGUCACCAAGGUCCUCCACAAUGGGGCGUACCGUCUUUACAACGUCAAGCAUAAUUUCGACGAGGCCCGAGCUUGGAACGCGGAGCUACUCCGCCCAUUCUACACUUAAGUUUUAUCACUCGGAUGAGUUGCAAUAAAGUACUUUUGCAGUUCACGGACCUCAAAAUAAUAGUGUCAUAGUCCCUCCAUAAUUUUUGUCACUUUUUAUUUUUGUCCACAUAAAAUUCCCCCUCAGUGGGUGACUUAGCUGCGAAUCCGUUUUGCCUAAGUUUGUAAAAAUCCUACUGAGUGGUGAGCCAGACUCCCACUCGGAGGAUUAGCUGCGAAUCCGUUUCGCCUAAGUUUGUAAAAAUCCUACUGAGUGGUGAGCCAGACUCCCACUCGGAGGCUUAGCCGCGAAUCUGUUUCGCCUAAGUUUAUCAAAAUCCUACCGAGUGAAGAGCAACCCUCUCACUCGGGGGCUUAGCUGCAGCCCUGUGCUCGCCUAAGUUAUAAAAAUCCUACCGAGUGUAGAGCAACCCUCUCACUCGGGGGCUUAGCUGCAGUCCAAGCACUCGCCUAAGUUAUAAAAACCCUACCGAGUGAAGAGUAACCCUUUCACUCGGAGGCUUAGCUGCAGUCCAAGGACUCGCCUAAGUUAUAAAAAUCCUACCGAGUGAAGAGCAACCCUCUCACUCGGAGGCUUAGCUGCAGUCCAAGCACUCGCCUAAGUUAUAAAAAUCCUACCGAGUGAAGAGCAACCCUCUCACUCGGAGGCUUAGCUGCAGCCUCGUGCUCGCCUAAGUUAUAAAAAUCCUACAGAGUGAAGAGCAAUCCUCUCACUCGGGGGCUUAGCUGCANNNNNNNNNNNNNNNNNNNNNNNNNNNNNNNNNNNNNNNNNNNNNNNNNNNNNNNNNNNNNNNNNNNNNNNNNNNNNNNNNNNNNNNNNNNNNNNNNNNNNNNNNNNNNNNNNNNNNNNNNNNNNNNNNNNNNNNNNNNNNNNNNNNNNNNNNNNNNNNNNNNNNNNNNNNNNNNNNNNNNNNNNNNNNNNNNNNNNNNNNNNNNNNNNNNNNNNNNNAUCAAAAUCCUACCGAGUGAAGAGCAACCCUCUCACUCGGGGGCUUAGCUGCAGUCCAAGCACUCGCCUAAGUUAUAAAAAUCCUACCGAAUGAAGAGCAACCCUCUCACUCGGAGGCUUAGCUGCAGCCUCGUGCUCGCCUAAGUUAUAAAAAUCCUACCGAGUGAAGAGCAAUCCUCUCACUCGGGGGCUUAGCUGCAGCCCUGUGCUCGCCUAAGGUAUAAAAAUCCUACCGAGUGAAGAGCAACCCUCUCACUCGGAGGCUUAACUGCAGCCCUGUGCUCGCCUAAGGUAUAAAAACCCUGCCGAGUGGAGAGCAACCCUCUCAUUCGAAGGGCUUAGCUGCAGCCCAGUGCUCGCCUAAGUGGACUAAAGAAUAAGUCGAUUGCAGUACAGGCACCUUGCUUUGAACCUGCAGAAGACAUUCCGAGCCGAAGGCAAUCGUAUUCAAGCACCAAAUCCAAGUUUGAAUCGACAUCUAAAGGAACCGAAAGUGCUCAGGCGUCAAGCCUGUUAAGGUUUGUCGGUUACAAUUCCACUCGGCAUACCGAGGCAAAUUUAAAGCGUCGAGCCAGAAGAAGUUUUUUACCCCUCCUAUGGAGGGCUGGAAGGUGCAACAAAUUCAUGAAGGUCAAUCCCGUCGGCGAUCCGAGUGGCGGCUGCAAGGAAAGUUUCCAUAAAGGACCUGAAGUCGUGCUUCUUGGUAUUGGCCACCCGAAGGGCCGCCAGCUUCUCUUCUCGCGCAUCUUUGCAGUGGACUCGGGCCAGACACAGAGCGACGUCUGCACCACACCGAGCCGAGGACUUCUUCCACUCCUGCACUCGACCAGGGAUCGUGUUCAAGCGGGCCAUCAGCGACUCAAGGUCAUUCUGAAGUGUCUCCUCAGGCCAGAGCGUCGAGUCGAUGCGAGAUGUGGCGGCCUUCAGCCUUGCGAGAUAGUCCACGACAGCUGCAACACGAGACUCCAGUCGGAAAACAUCCAUGGCAACUUCGUCGUUCACCGGAGAAUUGACGGGGUCGAGGUUUGGCUCCAGUCGGCUGGUUUCUUCUUCAAAGUUAUGACAAAAUUCUGCAAGGAUGAUCACUAAGUCAAGGGGAUAGUCGAAUGGAAAAAGCCACAAUUGGAAAUAUUUGCCAAACAUGGAGGUUUACCUUCAAGCAUAAGAAACAGCUUCUUGGCAAGGCCACUCAGGAAGGCCUCCAGUUCAGUUUUCUUCUCAGUCAAUUUGCUGACUUGGUCGGUCAGGGCAGCUUUAUCAGUUUUCAGUCGACUGACCUCCUUGUUGGCAAUCCCAAGAGCAGCUUUCAGAUUGGUAUUGUCUUGUUCGAGCUUGGUGACUGAAGCUAACUUCUCGUCAGCAAGCUUGAUCUUCUCAGCUAGCUCAAGGUCUUUCUUCUGCUGGGCCUCCCUUACCUUACCUGCAAGUUACAGCAAGAUCAGAUUUUGAAACAAGCAAGGGGAAAAGCAGUCGUCAGGGUCUCACCAAACAUACCUUCGGUCUCCUCCUUUGCCUUUGUCAGUUUCUCUUGAACCAGCUUCAAGCUCAGCUCGACUUGAGUAUGUUUUUGUUCCAGCUCUGAGUAGCGAGCCACAAGAUCACAAGAGUUCUGCGAAGAACCAAUCGACUAAAAGUCAAAAAUAAUUCACUUCCGAGUGAAAAAGGGAAAAACACACGUUUCUAAGACUACAGCCGAAUACAAGCAUUCGACCGUAGUCUCGGGGACUACACCCAGUGGGUGCACUCAGCGUGCCCCCACUAAUCCCGAUGAAGACAAAGUCGACCAGUCGACCUCAAAAAAAAAAGAGAGAUGCAUUCUCUAAGACUGUGAUCAACUGCAAGCAGUCGACCACAGUCUCGGGGACUACACCCAGUGGGUGCACUCAGCGUGCCCCCACCGGUUUGUGAAAUCCAGUCGACAUAGUCGACUGAAAGAAAAAUUGACGUCAUAAAGCCUAAGGCCGACUGCCAGCAGUCGACCUUAGCCUUGGGGACUACACCCAGUGGGUGCACUCAGCGUGCCCCCACCGGUUUGUGAAAUCCAGUCGACCAGUCGACUGACAGAAAGAUUGACAUCAUAAAGCCUAAGGCCGACUGCCAGCAGUCGACCUUAGCCAUGGGGACUACACCCAGCGGGUGCACUCAGCGUGCCCCCGCUAACACGGAGUUUAUUCGACACACCCAGUGGGUGACUACUAUAAAUUCUGGAAAAGAAAAGUUUUUGGUAGCAUAUCCAACAGAACAAACAGCGGUCGACUGACCUGGACAUUGCUUUGGAGGGCAGAACUGGCGUCAUAAGCUGCCUGGCUCGCGUCCCGGAUGAUCUUCAGCUGCUCCAUCAUGAGUCCCGCCUGGCGUAUUGCUUCCUUCGCUGCGCCAGCUUGGUCCUCGGGGACGUGGUGCGUCGUGAAGAGGGAGGGCUGCUGAGCACUCGUCAGUGGAUUUGCGAAGGACACCGUGUGUCGAGUGGUGUUCUCUUCCUCCACAGUCAGAAUCUCAGGCGCCGUCACAUCCUGAGGCACCUUACUGGUGGACGCUUUCUGACUCCUCCUGCGUGCCAGUGGUUCUUCAUCCUCGUCGUCAUCAGGAAGAUUGAUAACAGUAUUGGGUGGAGCUGCGGAGAAGAAUCAGAAUCAGAGAUCGCGAGUCAGUCGACUAAGAACGGCGUCAAGAAUACAGUACCUGGGUUCGAAGUCGCUGCGUCCUCCAUCUCGUGGUCAUCAGCCCGAGCUGAGGUUUCAGAAGUAGCAGCACUGCAACUCCAAAGGAUCAGUCGACUAGCUUUAGCGUCGACCAGAGACAAAGUUCACACAAAAUGAGAAGAUGCAAACGACACAAUUACCCUGAUAUGGUGGGGAUGGACACCUUCAUCUUCGGCAGGAGCUUGGUCGGCUUUGGCGGAGCCCCCCUAGGCUGCUUCGGCGCCUUUUUAGUCGGCGCUAGAGAGGUGGUCCUAGGGCGCUUGGUCGACUGCGUCACAACCCCCUUGCCACGUUCAGUCGAAGGGUCGUGGACGAGCUUCGACCGCCUUUCUGAGCGCGGCGGUACGACCUCCUCCUCCUCCUCUUCCUCGUCCUCGACGUCGUCUUCAUCACCGACAUCAUCAUCAUCGUCGUCAUCAUCCUCUGCAACAUCCGAGUCCCAUUCCUCCUCUUCCUGGCUCUCGCCCCCGCUCGCCUCGCCCUCCUCAGUCGAAGCUUGUGCCCCAUUGGGAAUCGAGUACAGCUCGGUGAGGGCCUAGCAGAUGCCCAGACAAGGAUCAGUCGACCAGUCGGCAGGGUUAACAGAAAUGAAUACGACGAGGGCGCAGUGGAGAGCAGAGCAAGUGUACCUUGUUUGAGUCGCUGUUGUGGUCGAGUGGAGGAAUCCUUCUGGCUCCGUGUGGGUUGUCCUUGUUUCCGGUGACGGCUGCCAUCCAUCUUUCCAGAGUGACAUCGUUGACUGCUUCUGGAUGGACUCUAGUCUCGUCUUCGGUCCCACAGUACAACCACAUGCAGUGGCUCCGGAACUGGAGAGGCUGGAUGCGACGCCUGAGGAAAACCUCCAGGAGGUCCAUGCCCGUCACUCCCUCCCGAACCAACUGCACCACGCGCUCCAUCAACAUCUUCACGUCAGCUUUCUCCUCCGGAAUCAGCUUCAGAGGGGAAGGCUUGCUCACUCGGUCCAUGGUGAACGGAGGGAGUCCACUCGACUGCCCUGGCGUCGACUGGACCUGGCAGUAGAACCAAGUCGACUGCCAGCCUCUGACAGACUCGGGAAAGGUCAUGGGCGGGAAGGUGCUCUUAUUCCUCACCUGAAUCCCCAGGCCUCCGCACAUUUGGACGACUCGGGUUCUCUCAUCACCUGGGCUCGCCUUCUUCACGGUCUGAGAUCGACACGUGAAUAUAUGUUUGAACAAACCCCAGUGCGGUCGACAGCCCAAGAAACCCUCACACAUGGACACGAACGCAGCAAGAUAGGCAAUGGAGUUUGGGGUAAAAUGGUGGAGCUGCGCUCCGAAGAAAUUCAAGAAGCCACGAAAGAAAACACUCGGCGGCAAGGAAAACCCGCGAUCAACAUGGGUGGCCAAAACCACACACUCACCCUCUUCUGGCUGGGGCUGCCACUCCUUCCCCGGAAGCCUCGCAGCUCCGUGGGGGAUCAAGCCCUCGUUGGCCAUGUCGAGGAGGUCAUUCUCCGUGAUGGUCGACUGGAUCCAGUCUCCUUGGACCCAGCCCUUCGACAGGCGGGAUCUGGACGAGGACCCUCCGGGGCUGGUGGAUCUCCCCUUCGCCUUCUCCGAUGCCGACGCCUUCUUUGCACGCUCCAGCGCCGCCGUCUUCUCCUUGGCCAUGGUCGCCGGCGAGAUGCGCAAAGGGAAGUGGUGCGGGGGCGAGAGCGAGCACGCUGAGCAGGGAGGAAGGAAGCAGAGAGAGGGGGAGAAUGCUAAGGCGCAGCACAGAAAUCCUCGCCGGGCACAUUUAUAAGGUCCCUUCCGAGUGGAUGACAGGUGGGCCCGGUCGAUCUAAUCAUAUCUGGAACAGUUAUGCAGACGGGAUACGUGGCGAAAAAGGCGGCACGGAGAUCGAGGCGUCCAUGCCCCGUCCCAUCCGAACGCCGCGGUCCGCCCCGCUUCGCGCGCGCCCCCAAAUUUCGCAUCCCGCGGAAUCCGCGAGCAACAAAUCAGUCUGUCAGGCGCGGUGUUUCCGGCGAUCCGUCGCUCGGAGAUCGUCGAAGCCUGAAAGAUCACUCGACGCAAAAACAGAAUGGAUCAAGUCGACUGAAGGCAAGUUGUCUCCUGUCGACGAAGAGAUUCUUUGGUCCAGAACAGCGCACAACCGGAGCGCAAAGGUUAAUCGGAAACGACAUCAACUCCUUCUUCACUCGAAGCCUCAAUCCAUUCGGGGGCUAAUGAUGGGGUUAUGUACCUAGGGUAGGGUCAUGGACCUGAUCCAAGUAACUUACCCCAGGACAUCCUUAGAAGAGGUCGCCUUCCAGUCGACCAACGAGGAUUCACUCGACUGGCCUGAAGGACUCGACCACGAAGACUCACUCGACCACCAGGAGGUCAAGAGGCACUCUGCACUGCAACGGCCUGUAAUCAAGUAGACUUUAUGAUAGUAAAGGCCUUUAUGUGGGGCGUUACCAGUAACGCCCCAGACUUAACUCACCUUAAACCCUCUCCUACGUGGGCUGGCUGGGGUCCUGGCGCACUCUAUAUAAGCCACCCCCCUCCACAGGCAGAAGGGUUCGGCACCUUGUAGUUCAUACAUUCAUAAUCCACUCGACCGCCUCCGGGCUCCGAGACGUAGGGCUGUUACUUCUUCCGAGAAGGGCCUGAACUCGUACAUCCUUUGUGCUUACAACCUCUCCAUAGCUAGGACCUUGCCUCUCCAUACCUACCCCCCACUCUACUGUCAGGCUUAGAACCACGACAUGGAGCAAUGUAGAUAGAUGGGGGAAGGUGAUGAAGAUGUUGGUGAAGAUGACAGAGGUGUUGGUGUAGAUCGCCGUCACACGAGGAUGGCCCCGAUGGCGUUCCGGCGCCACCGGGAGAGAGGGGGAGAGGGCCCCCCUUUUUCUUCUUCCUUGACCUUCUCCCUAGAUGGGAGAAGGGUUUCCCAUCUGGGCCUUGGCUCCCAUGGAAUGGGAGGGGCGAGAGCCCCUCCGAGAUUGGAUCUUUCGCUCUGUCUCUCUCUGUUUCUGCGUUUCAGAUUCUGGCCUUUCAUCGUUUCUUAUAUUCUCGGAGAGCCAUAACUCCGAUUGGGCUGAAACUUUAACAUGAUUUUUAUAUGGAUAUUAUAUUUCUUGCGGCGAAAGAAGGGCACCAACCACCUUACGGGGUGGCCACAAGGGCCUAGGGCAUGCCUGACCCCCUGGGGCGCGCCCCCUGCCUCGUGGCCCCCUCGAGCAUCGUCUCGUGUUGAUUCUUCUUCCAAAAAAUCACAUAUAUUCCAAAAAAAUCUCCGUCAGUUUUCAUCCCGUUUGGACUCCGUUUGAUAUGGAUUUUCUGUGAAACAAAAAACAUGCAACAAAUAGGAACUGGCACUGGGCACUGGAUCAUUAUGUUAGUCCCAAAAAUAGUAUAAAAAGUUACCAAAAGUAUAUGAAACUUGUAUAAUAUUGGCAUGGAACAAUAAAAAAUUAUAGAUACGACGGCGACGUAUCAGCAUCCCCAAGCUUAAUUCUUGCUCGUCCUCGAGUAGGUAAAUGAUAAAAAAGAUAUUUUUUGAUGUGAAAUGCUACCUAGCAUAAUCUUGAUCAUGUAAUCUAAUCAUGGCAUGAAUAUUAAGACACGAGUGAUUCAAAUAAAUAGUCUAUCAUUUGACAUUAAGAAAAUAAUACUUCAAGCAUACUGAGGGAGUCCUGGAUUAGGGGGUCUCCGGACAGCCGAACUAUUGUACUAUGAAGAUACGAGAUUGAAGACUUCUUCCCGUGUCAGGAUGGGACUCUACUUGGCGUGGAAGGCAAGCUAGGCAAUACGGAUAUGUAUAUCUCCUCCUUUGUAACCGACCUUGUGUAACCCUAGCUGAGGGAGUCCUGGAUUAGGGGGUAUCCAGACAGCCGGAUUAUGACCUUUGGCCAGACUGUUGGACUAUGAAGAUACAAGAUUGAAGACUUCAUCCCGUGUCUGGAUGGGACUCUACUUGGCAUGGAAGGCAAGCUAGGAAAUACGGAUAUGUAUAUCUCCUCCUUUGUAACCGACCUUGUGUAAUCCUAGCCCCCUCCGGUGUCUAUAUAAACCGGAGGGUUUUAGUCCGUAGGACAACAUACAAUCAUACCAUAGGCUAGCUUCUAGGGUUUAGCCUCUCCGAUCUCGUGGUAGAUCAACUCUUGUACUACUCAUAUUAUCAAGAAUAAUCAAGCAGGACGUAGGGUUUUACCUCCAUCAAGAGGGCCCGAACCUGGGUAAAACAUCAUGCCCCCUUCCUCCUGUUACCAUCCGCCUUAGACGCAUAGUUCGGGACCCCCUACUGGAGAUCCGCCGGUUUUGACACAGACAUUGGUGCUUUCAUUGAGAGUUCCACUGUGUCGUCGCCAUAAGGAAGGAUGCCUCAUCUCGUUGUUAAAAACAACAUUACCGCCGGAGGAGCCUUGGCUGUCGGCCAAACUCUCCGGCUUGGCAGUUUCAUCAUGACUGCUAGUUCGGCUGCUGCACCAACGAUGACUUCUCGGGUCAUCAAAAAUAGCCUGCACGUCGGCUCGGAAUUCGCUAAGCAGAUGAAUCCAAUAGAGAUCUCUUCCCUAAACGAGCUCUGGGAUCGUAUUGCUGCCUUGGGAGUCGCUACAGACUAUGAUCGGAUUGGGCUUAAACCCGAUCAAAGGGAGAUUAAUUCUCCACCGGUCACCCAUCAUAUUGCGGUGGUGGAGGAACAAUGCGGCGAUUUAGCCUCUACCUUGAGGACUAACUAUGUCCGGAUUCCUGAGCUCUCCGAGCCGGAUACCCGUGUACGGGAGGACAUCACCCAAGCCCUUAACCUAGAGUCAAGCAGCGGGCCAGACUCAUCGGGCAACACUCCGGAAUCCGAACUUCCAAGAUCAGAAACUCCUCGGCCCCUGGGUCUUAGAUCGGGUAGGGGUUCGGACUCAAAUCCACCCACCCACCCAGACAUAAACGAUCUUUCCCACAUCAGGCAAGAUCCCCAUGAAAUAGUACAUCAUUAUUGGGCCAGAUUCCUCCUUGUGAUGAACAAGGUUAAGGACUGUCAUGAGGAAGACGCAGUCUCAUUCUUCUGCAAUAAUUGCAUGGACAAGGGAAUCCUUAACGCCUUAAGUCGCCGUGACAUAUCACGCUUCACCGACUUGGCAUCCAUAGUAUGAAAGUACUAUGCGAUGGAAAGCGCCUGGAAAACCGAAACAAAAUUUUGGGAUAAUCCGGCUCGAAAUAUACACCCAGUCCGAAGUAAAAGGGUGCAGUAUCAUAAGACACCCGAACUAGUUACAAAGAAACAAAAACCCUCUAUAGGGCAUGGAACCGUAUUGGAGGGAUGGCUUAACGGACCCUGCAAAAUUCAUAGUGAAGCGGAUACCAUACCAACACACAGCCUUAGAGCAUAUUGGAUACUUCGGCAGGUGGCCAAAAGUGGUGAGGAUCUUCUCAUCCCAAAUGCUACAGAGCACCAUCCCGUGGAUAACAAUAUGGUAUUAACAGUCUUUGAAACCUUCGCAUCAAAUAAAAGGCGCAAGCGAACACUUCGCAGCCUCGCCGAAAUCUGUCACGUGGCAGCAAUGAAUCCAUGGAGUGACACGGCUAUUACCUUCAAUGCCAGUGACGAACCCAAAUUCCGAACAGCCCAAGCACCAUCUGCACUGGUCCUUAGUCCAAUUGUGGACGGCUUUCGACUCACCAAAGUACUCAUGGACGGUGGUAUUGGAUUAAACCUCAUUUAUGAGGAAACUCUUCAAAAAAUGGAAAUAGACUAGAACCGCAUUGAGCAAAGUAGCACAACCUUCAGAGGAAUCAUCCCUAGUCAGGAAGCACGCUGUGCUGGGAAAAUCACACUAGAUAUGGUAUUCGGCACGCCGGAGAACUAUAGGUCUGAAGAAAUUACAUUCCAAGUGGCCCCAUUUAGUAGUGGAUACCACGCCCUUUUAGGACGGGAGGCGUUCAUGAUCUUCCAAGCCAUACCCCAUUAUGGGUACAUGAAGCUCAAAAUGCCCGGGCCCAACGGAAUCAUCACUCUCACUAGUGAUCCGGACACAGCACUCCGCGCUGAAAACAAAACAACCGCAUUGGCCCUCGAGGCAUUAUCCGAAGCCCUUUUGGCCGAGGAACUAACUGCGCUACGCUCCACGGUGGGCAUGGACGACGUGAUACUUGACAAGAGAUCCAAGUCCACCUCUUUUAAACCAGUGGAUGAAAUAGUCAAAUUCCAAGUCCACCCAACGGACCCUACAAAAACAGCCUCCAUUGGGGCACAGUUAAAUCCCGUCGUGGACGCUGCACUACGAGAGUUCCUGUGCGAGAAUUGGGACAUAUUCGCCUGGCACCCCCCAGACAUGCCAGGAAUCCCACCCAGGCUGGCCGAGCAUAGCCUCAAUAUCCUAAAGGGAUUCAAGCCGGUCAAGCAGGCUCUUCGUCGUUUCUCUUAACCUAAGAGACAAGCUAUGGGAGAGGAACUAUCCAAGUUAUUGGAGGCCGGAUUCAUUAGAGAAAUAAAACACCCAGACUGGCUAGCAAACCUGGUGAUGGUACCAAAGAAGGACAAAUCCUGGCGCCUAUGUGUCGAUUUCAAGGACCUCAACAAGGCUUGCCCAAAGGAUCCCUUCCCCCUCCCCCACAUCGAUCAAAUUAUUGAUGCUACCGCAUGACACAAGUCAUUGUGUUUCCUCGACGCAUACUCCGGCUAACACCAAAUCAAGAUGGUGGAGUCUGACCAAGCCGCAACGACAUUUAUCACACCAUACGGCCCCUUCUGUUUCAACACAAUGCCUUUUGGGCUCAAAAACGCCGGCGCAACAUAUCAGCGCAUGAUUCAGACAUGUCUGGAGAAACAGAUCGGCAAAACAGUAGAGGCAUAUGUAGAUGAAAGUGCAACUAUCCAUAGGUGGUUUUGGUAAUUCCUAACAACAUAUAGCUCAUUGAGCUAAUGCUAUUCCAAGAUUAAUAUUUCAGGAAAAGCUUAAUGAAUGGCAUGGCAUGGAUGAGGAAAGUGGACCCCUCAAAAUACUAAGGACAAAAAGAUUGGCUCAAGCUCAAAGCUCAAGACUCUACAUUUUAUACUUUAGUGAUCCAAGAUCACAUUGAGUCUAUAGGAAAAGCCAAUACUAUCAAGGAGGGAUGAGGUGUUGCUUGAUGAGGUUCUUGCUUCAUAGUGCUUAGUGAUAUGCUCCAAAACCCUCAACUACCUUCCCACAUCCACAUAUGACCUAAACCAAAAGUCAAACUCGGCCCCACCGAUUCUUUCUAUCCGGCGCCACCGAGUUCAGAUGUCAUAGCCACUGCCACAAACCCUAGGCAAAUCGGUCCCACCGAUAGGGAUCUUGGUCACACCGAGAUGGGGUUGUAAUCUCUCUGUUUCCCUUUGUAACGUUUUGGUCCUACCGAGAUGAGCGAUCGGUCCCACCGAGAUUGCAAUGUAAACUCUCUGUUUCCCUUUUGUAACAUUUCGGUCCCACCGAAAUGAGCAAAUCGGUCCCACCGAGUUUACCUAACCAACUCUUUGGUUAGCUUAUUACCAAAAUCGGUCCCAUCGAGUUUGUGUAAUCGGUCACACCGAGAUUACGUUAUGCCCUAACCCUAACCAUAUAAGUCCCACCGAAUUGCAUCUCAGUCCCAUCGAAAAUCCUGACGGUCACUAGGUUUGCUAAAUCAGUCCGACCGAGUUUCUCAAUUCGGUCUCACCGAGAUUGGUAAAUUGUGUGUAACGGUUAGAUUUUGGGUGGAGGCUAUAUAUACCCCUCCACCCACUCUUCAUUAGUGGAGAGAGCCAUCAGAAUACACCUACACUUCCAAUACACAUUUUCUGAGAGAGAACCACCUACUCAUGUGUUGAGGCCAAUAUAUUCCAUUCCCACCAUAUGAAUCUUGAUCUCUAGCCUUCCCCAAGUUGCUUUCCACUCAAAUAUUCUUUCCACAAAAUCCAUAUCCUGUGAGAGAGAGUUGAGUGUUGGGGAGACUAUCAUUUGAAGCACAAGAGCAAGGAGUUCAUCAUCAACACACCAUUUGUUACUUCUUGGAGAGUGGUGUCUCCUAGAUGUUGGGGAACGUUGCAGAAAAGAAAAUUUUUCCUACGGUUUCACCAAGAUCCAUCUAUGAGUUCAUCUAGCAACGAGUGAUCAGAUGCAUCUACAUACCUUUGUAGAUUGCGAGCGGAAGCAUUCAAAGAACGGGGAUGAGGUAGUCGAACACGACGUGAUCCAAAUCACCGGAGAUCCUAGCGCCGAACGGACGGCACCUCCGCGUUCAACACACGUACGGUCAGCGUAAUGUCUCCUUCUUCUUGAUCCAGCAAGGGGGAAGGAGAGGUUGAGGAAGAUGGCUCCAGCAGCAGCACGACGGCGUGGUGGUGAUGGAGCUGCAGUACUCCGACAGGGCUUCGCCGAGCUCUACGGAGGAGGAGGGGGUGUUGGAGAGGGAGAGGGAGGCGCCAAAGGCUGAGGUAUGAAGUCCUCCAUCUCCCCACUAUAUAUAGGAGGGCCAAGGGGGGGGGGGCCGGCCCUCGGAGAUCCAAUCUCCUAGGGGGCGGCGGCCAAGGGAGGUUUCCCUCCCCCCCAAGGCACCUAGGGGCUGCCUUCCCCUUGUGGGACUCUUCCCUCUUGAAACCCUAGGCGCAUGGGCCUCUUGGGGCUGGUGCGCCUUGGCCCAUGUAGGCCAAGGCGCAACCCCUACAGCCCAUGUGGCCCCCUGGGGCAGGUGGCCCCACCCGGUGGACCCCCGGGACCCUUCCGGUGGUCCCGGUACAAUACCGAUAACCCCGAAACUUGUCCUGAUGGCCGAAAUAGCACUUCCUAUAUAUAAUUCUUUACCUCCGAACCAUUCCGGAACUCCUCGUGAUGUCCAGGAUCUCAUUCGGGACUCCGAACAACAUUCGGGUUACUACAUAUACAUAUCCCUACAACCCUAGCGUCACCGAACCUUAAGUGUGUAGACCCUACGGGUUCGGGAGACAAGCAGACAUGACCGAGACGACUCUCCGGUCAAUAACCAAGAGCGGGAUCUGGAUACCCAUGUUGGCUCCCACAUGCUCCACGAUGAUCUCAUCGGAUGAACCACGAUGUCGAGGAUUCAAGCAACCCCGUAUGCAAUUCCCUUCCAAUCGAUAUGUUACUUGCCUGAGAUUUGAUCGUCGGUAUCCCAAUACCUCGUUCAAUAUCGUUACUGGCAAGUCACUUUACUCGUACCGUAAUGCAUGAUCCCGUGACCAGACACUUGGUCACUUUGAGCUCAUAAUGAUGAUGCAUUACCGAGUGGGCCUAGUGAUACCUCUCCGUCAUACGGAGUGACAAAUCCCAGUCUUGAUCCGUGUAAACCCAACAGACACUUUCGGAGAUACCCGUAGUCUACCUUUAUAGUCACCCAGUUACGUUGUGACGUUUGGUAUACCCAAAGCACUCCUACGAUAUCCGGGAGUUACACAAUCUCAUGGUCUAAGGAAAGGAUACUUGACAUUGGAAAAACUCUAGCAAACGAACUAUACGAUCUUAUGCUAUGUUUAGGAUUGGGUCUUGUCCAUCACAUCAUUCUCCUAAUGAUGUGAUCUCGUUAUCAAUGACAUCCAAUGUCCAUAGUCAGGAAACCAUGACUAUCUGUUGAUCAACGAGCUAGUCAACUAGAGGCUUACUAGGGACAUGUUGGUGUCUGUUAUUCACACAUGUAUUACGAUUUCCGGAUAACACAAUUAUAGCAUGAAUAAAGACAAUUAUCAUGAACAAGGAAAUAUAAUAAUAAUGCUUUUAUUAUUGCUUAUAGGGCAUAUUUCCAACAGUCUCCCACUUGCACUAGAGUCAAUAAUAUAGUUACAUUGUGAUGAAUCGAACACCCAUGGAAUUCUGGUGUUGAUCAUGUUUUGCUCUAGGGAGAGGUUUAGUCAAUGGAUCUGCUACAUUCAGGUCCGUAUGAACUUUACAAAUAUCUAUGUCUCCAUCUUGAACAUUUUCACGAAUGGAGUUGAAGCGACGCUUGAUGUGCCUUGUCUUCUUGUGAAACCUGGGCUCCUUGGCAAGUGCAAUAGCUCCAGUGUUGUCACAGAAGAGUUUGAUUGGCCCCGACGCAUUGGGUAUGACUCCUAGGUCGGUGAUGAACUCCUUCACCCAAAUUGCUUCAUGUGCUGCCUCCGAGGCUGCCAUGUACUCCGCUUCACAUGUAGAUCCCGCCACGACGCUCUGCAACUGCAGCAGCUUACUGCCGCACCAUUCAAAAUAUACACGUAUCCGGUUUGUGACUUAGAGUCUUCCAGAUCUGUGUCAAAGCUAGCAUCGAUGUAACCCUUUACGAUGAGCUCUUCGUCAUCUCCAUAAACGAGAAACAUUUCCUUAGUACUUUUCAGGUACUUCAGGAUAUUCUUGACUGCUGUCCAAUGUUCCUUGCCGGGAUUACUUUGUUACCUUCCUACCAAACUUACGGCAAGGUUUACAUCAGGUCUAGUACACAGCAUGGAAUACAUAAUAGCACCUAUGGCUGAGGCAUAGGGGAUGACACUCAUCUCUUCUAUAUCUUCUGCCGUGGUCGGACAUUAAGAAGAGCUCAAUUUCACGCCUUGCAACACAGGUAAGAACCCCUUCUUAGACUGAUCCAUAUUGAACUUCUUCAAUAUCUUAUCAAGGUAUGUGCUUUGUGAAAGACCUAUGAGGCGUCUUGAUCUAUCUCUAUAGAUCUUGAUGCCUAAUAUAUAAGCAGCUUCUCCAAGGUCCUUCAUUGAAAAACUCUUAUUCAAGUAGGCCUUAAUGCUGUCCAAGAGUUCUAUAUCAUUUCCCAUCAAAAGUAUGUCAUCUACAUAUAGUAUGAGAAAUGCUACAGAGCUCCCACUCACUUUCUUGUAAACGCGGGCUUCUCCAUAAGUCUGCGUAAACCCAAACGCUUUGAACAUCUCAUCAAAGCGAAUGCUCCAACUCCGAGAUGCUUGCACCAGCCCAUAAAUCGAGCGUUGGAGCUUGCACACCUUGUCAGCAUUCUUAGGAUCGACAAAACCUUCCGGCUGCAUCAUAUACAAUUCUUCCUGAAGGAAACCAUUUAGGAAUUCCGUUUUGACGUCCAUUUGCCAUAUUUCAUAAUCGUAGAAUGCGCAAUUGCUAACAUGAUUCGGACGGACUUUAGCUUCACUACCGGUGAGAAAGUCUCAUCGUAGUCAACCCCUUGAACUUGUCGAUAAACCUUAGCGACAAGCCGAGCUUUAUAGAUGGUCACAUUACCAUCCGCGUCUAUCUUCUUCUUAAAGAUCCAUUUAUUUUCUAUGGCUCGCCGUUCAACGGGAAAGUCAGUCAAAGUCCAUACUUCGUUUUCAUACAUGGAUCCUAUCUCGGAUUUCAUGGCUUCUAGCCAUUUGUCGGAAUCCGGGCCCGCCAUCGCUUCUUCAUAGUUCGAAGGUUCACCGUUGUCUAACAACAUGAUUUCGAAGACAGGGUUGCCGUACCACUCUGGUGCGGAACGUGUCCUUGUGGACCUUCGAAUUUCAGUAGCAACUUGAUCUGAAGUUUCAUGAUCAUCAUCAUUAACUUCGUCUCUAGUCGGUGCAGGCACCUCAGGAACAUUUUCUUGAGUUGCGCCAUUUUCCGGUUCAAGAGGUAAUACUUCAUCAAGUUCUACUUUCCUCCCACUUACUUCUUUCGAGAGAAACUCUUUCUCUAGAAAGGAUCCAUUCUUGGCAACAAAGAUCUUGCCUUCGGAUCUGAGGUAGAAGGUAUACCCAAUAGUUUCUUUAGGGUAUCCUAUGAAGACGCAUUUUUCCGACUUGGGUUAGAGCUUUUCAGGUUGAAGUUUCUUGACAUAAGCAUCGCAUCCCCAAACUUUUAGAAAUGACAGCUUAGGUUUCUUCCCAAACCAUAAUUCAUACGGUGUCGUCUCAAUGGAUUUCGAUGGAGCCCUAUUUAAAGUGAAUGCGGCAGUCUCUAAAGCAUAGCCCCAAAAAGAUAGCGGUAAAUCGGUAAGAGACAUCAUAGAUCGCACCAUAUCUAAUAGAGUGCGAUUACAACGUUCGGACACACCAUUACGCUGAGGUGUUCCAGGCGGCGUGAGUUGUGAAACUAUUCCACAUUUUCUUAAGUUUGUGCCAAAUUCGUGACUCAAGUAUUCUCCUCCACGAUCUGAUCGUAGAAACUUGAUUUUCCUGUCACGUUGAUUCUCAACCUCACUCUGAAAUUCCUUGAACUUUUCAAAGGUUUCAGACUUGUGUUUCAUUAAGUAGAUAUACCCAUAUCUACUCAAGUCAUCAGUGAGGGUGAGAACAUAACGAUAGCCACCGCGAGCCUCAACACUCAUUGGACCACACACAUCAGUAUGUAUGAUUUCCAAUAAGUUGGUUGCUCACUCCAUUGUUCCUGAGAAUGGAGUCUUGGUCAUUUUACCCAUGAGGCAUGGUUCGCACGUGUCAAAUGAUUCAUAAUCAAGAGACUCUAAAAGUCCAUCUGCAUGGAGCUUCUUCAUGCGUUUGACACCUAUGUGACCAAGGCAGCAGUGCCACAAGUAUGUGGGACUAUUAUUAUCAACCUUACAUCUUUUGGUACUCACACUAUGAACAUGUGUAGCAUUACGCUCGAGAUUCAUUAAGAAUAAACCAUUCACCAAAGGAGCAUGACCAUAAAACAUAUCUCUCAUAUAAAUAGAACAACCAUUAUUCUCGGAUUUAAAUGAGUAGCCAUCUCGAAUUAAACGAGAUCCCGAUACAAUGUUCAUGCUCAAAGCUGGCACUAAAUAACAAUUAUUAAGGUUUAAAACUAAUCCCGAAGGUAGAUGUAGAGGUAGCGUGCCGACGGCGAUCACAUUGACCUUGGAACCAUUCCCGUCGUGCAUCGUCACCUCGUCCUUCGCCAGUCUCCGCUUAUUCCGCAGCCCCUGUUUUGAGUUACAAAUGUGAGCAACUGCACCGAUAUCAAAUACCCAGGAGCUACUACGGGUACUGGUAAGGUACACAUCAAUUACAUGUAUAUCACAUAUACCUUUCGUUUUGCCGGCCUUCUUGUCCGCUAAGUAUUUGGGGCAGUUCCGCUUCCAGUGACCACUUUCCUUGCAAUAAAAGCACUCAGUCUCGGGCUUGGGUCCAUUCUUUGGCUUCUUCCCGGCAGCUUGCUUGCCGGGCGCGGCAACUCCCUUGCCGUCCUUCUUGAAGUUCUUUUUACCCUUGCCCUUCUUGAACUUAGUGGUUUUAUUGACCAUCAACACUUGAUGUUCCUUCUUGACUUCUACCUCUGCUGAUUUCAGCAUAGCAAAUACUUCAGGAAUGGUCUUUUCCAUCCCCUGCAUAUUGAAGUUCAUCACAAAGCUCUUGUAGCUUGGUGGAAGCGACUGGAGGAUUCUGUCAAUGACCGCGUCAUCCGGGAGAUUAACUCCCAGCUGAGUCAAGCAGUUAUGUAACCCAGACAUAGUGAGUAUGUGCUCACUGACAGAACUAUUCUCCUCCAUCUUACAGCUGAAGAAUUUGUCGGAGACUUCAUAUCUCUCGACCCGGGCAUGAGCUUGAAAAACCAUUUUCAGCUCUUCGAACAUCUCAUAUGCUCCAUGUCUCUCAAAACGCUUUUGGAGCCCCGGCUCUAAGCUGUAAAGCAUGCCACACUGAACGAGGGAGUAGUCAUCGGUACGUGCCUGCCAAGCGUUCAUAACGUCUUGUUCUACAGGGAGAACAUGUGCGUUACCCAGCGGUGCUUGUAGGACAUAAUCUUUCUUGGCAGCUAUGAGGAUGAUCCUCAGGUUCCGGACCCAGUCUGUGUAGUUGUUGCCAUCGUCUUUCAGCUCGGUUUUCUCUAGGAACGCGUUGAAGUUGAGGACUACGUUGGCCAUUUGAUCUACAAGAAAUAUUGUAAAUAUUUUAGACUAAGUUCAUGAUAAUUAAGUUCAUCAAAUUAUUCAAUGAACUCCCACUUAGAUAGACAUCCCUCUUCUAGUCAUCUAAGUAUAACAUGAUCCGAGUCAACUAUCUGUGUCCGAUCAUCACGUGAGACGGACUAGUCAACGUUGGUGAACAUCUUCAUGUUGAUCGUAUCUUCUACACGACUCAUGCUCGACCUUUCGGUCUUCUGUGUUCCGAGGCCAUGUCUGUACAUGCUAGGCUCGUCAAGUCAACCUAAGUGUUUGCAUGUGUAAAUCUGUCUUACACCCGUUGUAUGUGAACGUUUGAAUCAAACACCCGAUCAUCACAUGGUGCUUUGAAACAACGAACUGUCGCAACGGUGCACAGUUAGGGGAAACACUUUCUUGAAAUUAUUAUGAGGGAUCAUCUUAGUUACUAUCGUCGUUCUAAGUAAACAAGAUGCAAAAACAUGAUAAACAUCACAUGCAAUCAAAUAAUAGUGACAUGAUAUGGCCAAUAUCACAAAGCUCCUUUGAUCUCCAUCUUGGGGCUCCAUGAUCAUCUUGUCACCGGCUUGACACCAUGAUCUUCAUCAUCAUGAUCUCCAUCAUCGUGUCUCCAUGAAGUUGCUCGCCAACUAUUACUUCUACUACUAUGGCUAACGCGUUUAGCAAUAAAGUAAAGUAAUUUACAUGGCGUUUCUCAAUGACACGCAGGUCAUAUAAAAAAUAAAGACAACUCCUAUGGCUCCUGCCGGUUGUCAUACUCAUCGACAUGCAAGUCGUGAUUCCUAUUACAAUAGCAUGAACAUCUCAUACAUCACAUAUAGAUCAUUCAUCAUUCAUCACAACUUUGGCCAUAUCAUAUCACAAAGCACUUGCUGCAAAAACAAGUUAGACGUCCUCUAAUUGUUGUUGCAAGUUUUACGUGGCUGAAUUAGGGUUCUAGCAAGAACGUUUUCUUACCUACGUGAAAGCCACAACUUAAUUUGUCAACUUCUAUUUACCCUCCAUAAGGACCUUUUUCAUCGAAUCCGCUCCAACUAAAGUGGGAGAGACUGACACCCGCCAGCCACCUUAUGCAACUACUGCAUGUUAGUCGGUGGAACCGGUCUCACGUAAGCGUACGUGUAAGGUUGGUCCAGGCCGCUUCAUCCCACAAUACCGCUGAAGCAAGAUAAGACUAGUAGCGGCAAGAAAGUUGACAACAUCUACGCCCACAACAAAUUGUGUUCUACUCGCGCAAGAAGAACUACGCAUAGACCUAGCUCAUGAUGCCACUGUUGGGGAACGUUGCAGAAAACAAAAUGUUUCCUACGGUUUCACCAAGAUCCAUCUAUGAGUUCAUUUAGCAAUGAGUGAUCGGAUGCAUCUACAUACCUUUGUAGAUUGCGAGCGGAAGCAUUCAAAGAACGGGGAUGAGGUAGUUGAACACGACGUGAUCCAAAUCAUCGGAGAUCCUAGCGUCGAACGGAUGGCACCUCCGCGUUCAACACACGUACGGUCAGCGUAACGUCUCCUUCUUCUUGAUCCAGCAAGGGGGAAGGAGAGGUUGAGGAAGAUGUCUCCAGAAGCAACACGACGGCGUGGUGGUGAUGGAGCUGCAGUACUCCGACAGGGCUUCACCGAGCUCUACGGAGGAGGAGGGGGUGUUGGAGAGGGAGAGGGAGGCGCCAAAGGCUGAGCUAUGAAGUCGUCCAUCUCCCCACUAUAUAUAGGAGGGCCAAGGGGGGGUGCCGGCCCUAGGAGAUCCAAUCUCCUAGGGGGAGGCGGCCAAGGGAGGUUUCCCUCCCACCCAAGGCACCUAGGGGGUGCCUUCCCCUUGUGGGACUCUUCCCUCUUGAAACCCCAGGCGCAUGGGCCUCUUGGGGCUGGUGCCCUUGGCCCAUGUAGGCCAAGUCGCAACCCCUACAGCCCAUGUGGCCCCCCGGGGCAGGUGGCCCCACCCGGUGGACCCCCGGGACCCUUCCGGUGGUCCCGGUACAAUACCGAUAACCCCGAAACUUGUCCCGAUGGCCGAAAUAGCACUUCCUAUAUAUAAUUCUUUACCUCCGAACCAUUCCGGAACUCCUCGUGAUGUCCGGGAUCUCAUUCGGGACUCCGAACAACAUUCGGGUUACUGCAUAUACAUAUCCCUACAACCCUAGUGUCACCGAACCUUAAGUGUGUAGACCCUACGGGUUUGGGAGACAAGCAGACAUGACCAAGACGACUCUCCGGUCAAUAACCAACAUCGGGACCUGGAUACCCAUGUUGGCUCCCACAUGCUCCACGAUGAUCUCAUCGGAUGAACCACGAUGUCGAGGAUUCAAGCAACCCCGUAUGCAAUUCCCUUUGUCAAUCGAUAUGUUACUUGCCCGAGAUUCGAUCGUCGGUAUCCCAAUACCUCGUUCAAUCUCGUUACCGGCAAGUCACUUUACUCGUACCGUAAUGCAUGAUCCCAUGACCAGACACUUGCUCACUUUGAGCUCAUAAUGAUGAUGCAUUACCGAGUGGGCCCAGUGAUACCUCUCCGUCAUACGGAGUGACAAAUCCCAGUCUUGAUCCGUGUCAACCCAACAGACACUUUCGGAGAUACCCGUAGUCUACCUUUAUAGUCACCCAGUUACGUUGUGACGUUUGGUAUACCCAAAGCACUCCUACGGUAUCCGGGAGUUACAUGAUCUCAUGGUCUAAGGAAAGGAUACUUGACAUUGGAAAAACUCUAGCAAACGAACUAUACGAUCUUAUGCUAUGUUUAGGAUUGGGUCUUGUCCAUCACAUCAUUCUCCUAAUGAUGUGAUCUCGUUAUCAAUGACAUCCAAUGUCCAUAGUCUGGAAACCAUGACUAUCUGUUGAUCAACGAGCUAGUCAACUAGAGGCUUACUAGGGACAUGUUGGUGUCUGUUAUUCACACAUGUAUUACGAUUUUCGGAUAACACAAUUAUAGCAUGAAUAAAGACAAUUAUCAUGAACAAGGAAAUAUAAUAAUAAUGCUUUUAUUAUUGCCUCUAGGGCAUAUUUCCAACACUAGAUUAGCUAGGUGUCACUUGGGAGCCUCCGACAAGAUUGUGGAGUUGAACCAAGGAGUUUGUAAGGGCAAGGAGAUCGCCUACUUCGUGAAGAUCUACCGCUAGUGAGGCAAGUCCUUCAUGGGCGAUGUCCAUGAUGGGAUAGACAAGGUUGCUUCUUCGUGGACCCUUUGUGGGUGGAGCCCUCCAUGGACUUGCGCAACCAUUACCCUUCGUGGGUGAAUUCUCCAUCAACGUGGAUGUACGAUAGCACCACCUAUCGGAACCACGACAAAAACAUCCGUGUCUCCAAUUGCGUUUGAAUUCUCCAAGCACUUCCCUUUACAUUCUUGCAAGUUACAUGCUUUACUUUCCGCUGCUCAUAGACUCUUUGCAUGCUUGCUUGAAUUGUGUUAAGAUUGCUUGACUUGUGCUAAGAUAGCUAAAAUCUGCCAACGACUAAAAUUGGGAAAAGGAUAGAUUUUUAAUUGGUCAAGUAGUCUAAUCACCCCCCUCUAGACAUACUUUCGAUCCUACAAGUGGUAUCAGAGCUUUGGUCUCCAUUUGCUUUGAUUUCCAUAGCUUUUGGUGGUCAUAGCCUUGGUUUCACAACCUAGGCGAGUAUGGCGUCUAGCGAGGGAAAUUACAACCAUAGAGGUACUUACUUUGAUGGUACUAAUUUUGCUAGUUGGAAGCAUAAGAUGAAAAUGCAUAUUCUUGGACAUAACCCCACCGUUUGGGCUAUUGUGUGUGUUGGCUUGCAAGGUGAAUUCUUUGAUGGGAGAGAACCGAAUCGUGAAGCUACCGCGGAAGAGUUGAAGAUGCUACAAUACAAUGCUCAAGCUUGUGAUAUCCUCUUCAACGGAUUGUGCCCCGAAGAAUUCAACAAAAUCAGUCGUCUUGAGAAUGCAAAGGAAAUUUGGGAUACUUUGAUUGAUAUGCACGAAGGUACCGACUCCAUCAAGGAAUCCAAGUUGGAUGUGCUUCAAAGUCAACGUGACAAGUUCAAAAUGAAGGAUGGUGAAGGUGUCGCUGAAAUGUACUCUAAGCUUGCUCUUAUCACAAAUGAGAUUGCCGGCUUAGGAAGUGAAGAGAUGACCGACAAAUUCAUCAUCAAGAAGAUCUUAAAAGCCUUGGAUGGAAAAUACGAUACCGUAUGCACAUUGAUCCAAAUGAUGCCAAAUUACAAAGAUCUCAAGCCAACGGAAGUCAUUGGAAGAAUUGUUGCUCAUGAGAUGUCACUCAAGGAUAAGGAGGAGCUCCAUAAAAAGUCAAGUGGUGCUUACAAAGCCUCAUGUGAAGCCCCCACGUCAUCAAGUGAGAAACAAACCUUCAAUGAAGAAUUGAGCUUAAUGGUGAAGAACUUCAACAAUUUCUACAAGAAUAGAAGCAAAUAGAGAAGUUCCAAGUCAAGGUCCUACAAUGACAAAAGAUCUUCUAGUCGAGAGCGAAACUGCUACAAUUGUGGAAGACCCGGACACUACUCCAAUGAGUGUACGGCUCCCCACAAGAGAAGAGAAGAUUCUCCCAAAAGAAGAAGUAGAAGAGAAGAAUCACCAUCAAGGGAGAGAAGGAGUAGGGAUGAUAGAUAUGAAUGAAGACCCUCUCGGAGAAGCAAGGAUUCAGAAAGGAAGGACAAGUCAUCAAGGAGCUACACAAAAUGAAGACAUCAAGCUCAUGUUGGUGAAUGGGUAUCCGGCUCCGACUCCGACAAUGACUCCGAGAGAAGCUAUCACUCCGACUCUGAAUAUACUCAAGAUGAAGGUGUUUCUGGUCUACCACUAGUGUCAACCAACUCCUACGACACAUUUGAUUCACCAAAUGAAGGAAUUGGAAGAUGCUUCAUGGCCAAAGGUCCAAAGGUAUCACACCCCGGGUAUGUUGAUUUAAAUAGUGAUGAAUAUGACUUGUUAGGUGAUGAUGAUUUACUUGUUGACAACUAUAGUGAUGAAUACUAUGAUGAAACGAAUGAAAAUGAUAAGGAGAAGAUUGAGUCUCUAACUAAAGAACUAAACACUCUUAAGUUAGCUCAUGAAACUAUCUUAGGAGAUCAUCGAGAACUUUUAAGGACUCGUGAGAAAUUACGGUUUGAGAAGCUCAACCUUGAGCAAGAGCAUGAGUUCUUAAAGGCAAUCAAUGAUGAUCUUCGCAAGAAAAGUUCUUAUUACAUUGCCAAGCAUUUACUCUUAUCCACUUACAUGCCUCAAGUCAAGUCUAGUAACAAGAACAAGAAAGAUUCUUCCUCUCACUAGUAGAAAACAGGGCUUUGGUCCAGGCCGGGUCAGCCCAUUAGUCCCGGUUCAAUCUAGAACCGGGACCAAUGUGGGCAUUGGUCCCGGUUCGUGAGCCUAGGGGGCCGGCCGGGCCACGUGGGCCAUUGGUCCCUGUUCGUCUGGACCUUUUGGUCCCGGUUGGUGGGACGAACCGGGACCAAUGGGCCUCGCUCCUGGCCCACCACCAUUGGUCCCGAUUGAUGGCUUGAACCGGGACCAAAGGCUCCCCUUUAGUCCCGGUUCAUGCCACCAACCGGGACCAAUGAGGUGCCUAUAUAUACCCCCUCGCGCAAGAGCAGAGCACAGUGCUCUAUUUUUUCUAGCCGAGGGGGAGAGGGCUUUGUGGUGCUCUAGCUCACCUCCUAUGCACAUGAGGUGUUCGAUGGAAUGCCCGAGCCACACUACUUAAGCUUUCUCCUCUCGAAGCUCGACCUCCAAGCUCCAUUUUCCUCGAGAUUUGUCUAGAUUUAGCGGUCUGUCACGCCCCAUCCCCGUCUUCACCGCCGUCGAUCACCCGCGCUGAUCUCAUCACCGACACCACCGUGGUGAGCCUCUUGUUCUUAUCUUCUUUCUGAAAGGAAAAAUAUUCUUAAUUGUAUGUUUAGAUAGAUACUUGUAUCAUUUUCUUACAUUUAUUAUUUCAUCUUAUAUAGUGCGAUGGUUUUGGUAUCCGCCCCCGUCGGCCCUUGUCCUGUCUAUGAUUCAGAUGUGGUAUGUAUAUUAUCUUUAUAACUAUUGGUUCAUUUAUUGUUUAUGAAAAUUAUGCCGACCAACGUGACAUAGAUUUUAUUUAUCUAGGAUGUAUGUGAAUCGGAAAUGCCAACCGACCCUAUUAUCGAGAGGUUAAAUUUAGUUGAAGAAGAAAACAAUUUGUUGAAGGAAAAAAUAAAAAAAAUUGAGGAGGAGAAGAUGAUAUUGGAGUUGCAUGUUGUGGAUGUCGUCGAUGAUCACAAGAUCAAGAUGGAUGCAAUGCGCUUGAAGAUUAGAAAGAUUAGAAAAUAUGCCAUUCAUACCGAGGCUUGGUAUCAUUAUGCCGUUGGAUCAAUUGUUACCUUGGUUGCGAUUAUGAUCGCAUUUUUUCGCAUUGAAAUGUUUUACAUAGUUUCAAUGUAUGGUUUAAUUAAUUAGAUGCUCUGGAGAGCUAUAUGUUGUUAGAUGAGAACUAUGUAUGCACUUUGGUUUUAAUGUGAUGAUGAACUUCUAUUAAUUUGGACACUUAAUUAUAUAUAAUGCACGCAGAUGAACCGACAAUGGAUGUACGGUGACAGACACACCCGCGAGUACAUUAAGGGCGUGCAUGAGUUUCUCGAUGCGGCUGAGGUAAACAAGCAGAAUGGUUUUAUGUGUUGUCCAUGCACUGAAUGUGGGAAUACGAGGUCUUACUCUAACCAGAAAAUCCUUCACUCCCACCUGCUUUACAAGGGUUUCAUGCCACACUAUAAUGUUUGGACGAGGCACGGAGAAAUAGGGGUUAUGAUGGAAGACGGUGAAGAAGAAGAGUAUGAUGACAACUAUGUGUCCCCUGAAUACGGUGAUGCUGCAACGGGGGGAGCUGGUGAAGAUCAAGAGGAACCAGACGAUGUGCCCAAUGAUGCUGCCACGGGUGAAGCUGCUGAAGAUCAAGAGGAACCAGACGAUGUGCCCGAUGAUAUGAUCUCCGCCGGGUCAUUGUCGAUGCAAGGACGCAAUGCAUUAGUCAAAAGGAGAAGCUGAAGUUUGAUCACAUGUUAGAGGAUCACAAAAAAGGGUUAUACCCCAAUUGCGAAGAUGGCAACACAAAGCUCGGUACCGUACUGGAAUUGCUGCAGUGGAAGGCAGAGAAUGCUGUGGCUGACAAAGGAUUUGAGAAGCUACUGAAAAUAUUGAAGAAGAAGCUUCCAAAGGAUAACGAAUUGCCCGACAGUACAUACGCAGCAAAGAAGGUCGUAUGCCCUCUAGGAUUGGAGGUGGAGAAGAUACAUGCAUGCCCUAAUGACUGCAUCCUCUACCGCGGUGCAUACAAGGAUCUGAACGCAUGCCCAGUAUGCGGUGCAUUGCGGCGUAACAUCAGACGAGAUGACCCUGGUGAUGUUGACGGCGAGCCCCCCAGGAAGAGGGUUCCUGCGAAGGUGAUGUGGUAUGCUCCUAUAAUACCACGGUUGAAACAUCUGUUCAAAAACGAAGAGCAUGCCAAGUUGAUGCGAUGGCACAGUGAGAACCGAAAGAAAGAUGGGAAGUUGAGAGCACCCGCUGACGGGUCGCAGUGGAGAAAAAUCGAGAGAAAGUACUGGGAUGAGUUUGCAAAGGACCCAAGGAAUGUAUGGUUCGCUUUAAGCGCGGAUGGCAUUAAUCCUUUCGGGGAGCAGAGCAGCAAUCACAACACCUGGCCCGUGACUCUAUGUAUGUAUAACCUUCCUCCUUGGAUGUGCAUGAAGCGGAAGUUCAUUAUGAUGCCAGUUCUCAUCCAAGGCCCUAAGCAACCCGGCAACGACAUUGAUGUGUACCUAAGGCCAUUAGUUGAAGAACUUUUACAGCUUUGGAAUGGAAACGGUGUACGUACGUGGGAUGAGCACAGACAGGAGGAAUUUAACCUUAAGGCAUUGAUGUUCGUGACCAUCAACGAUUGGCCCGCUCUUAGUAACCUUUCAGGACAGACAAACAAAGGAUACCACGCAUGCACGCACUGUUUAGAUGACACUGAAAGUAUAUACCUGGACAAAUGCAGGAAGAAUGUGUACCUGGGCCAUCGUCGAUUUCUUCUGACCAACCAUCAAUGUCGAAAGAAAGGCAAGCAUUUCAAAGGCGAGGCAGAUCACCGGAAGAAGCCCGCCAUGCACACCGGUGAUCACGUGCUUGCUAUGGUCAAUGAUUUACACUACGUAAUCUUUAGAAAGGGUCCCGGUGGACUAGCUGUUCCGAAUGACGCUGAGGGACACGCACCCAUGUGGAAGAAGAAAUCUAUAUUUUGGGACCUACCCUACUGGAAAGACCUAGGGGUCUGCUCCUCAAUCGACGUGAUGCACGUGAUGAAGAACCUUUGCGUGAACCUGCUAGGCUUCUUGGGCGUGUAUGGGAAGACAAAAGAUACACUUGAGGCACGGGAGGACCUGCAACGUUUGCACGAAAAAGACGGCAUGCCUCCGAAGCAGUAUAAAGGUCCUACCAGCUACACUCUUACGAAAGAAGAGAAAGAAAUCUUCUUUGAAUGCCUGCUCAGUAUGAAGGUCACGACUCGCUUCUCGUCGAAUAUAAAGGGAAUAAUAAAUAUGGCAGAGAAAAAGUUUCAGAACCUAAAGUCUCAUGACUACCACGUGAUUAUGACGCAACUACUUCUGGUUGCAUUGAGGGGGCUUCUACCGGAAAACGUCCGAUUAGCCAUUGUGAAGCUAUGUGCAUUCCUCAAUGCAAUCUCUCAGAAGGUGAUCGAUCCAGAAAUAGUACCAAGGCUAAGGAGUGAUGUGGCGCAAUGUCUUGUCAGUUUCGAGCUUGUGUUCCCACCAUCCUUCUUCAAUAUCAUGACGCACAUCCUAGUUCAUCUAGUCGACGAGAUUGUCAUCCUGGGGCCCGUAUUUCUACACAAUAUGUUCCCCUUUGAGAGGUUCAUGGGAGUCCUAAAGAAAUAUGUCGGUAACUGUGCUAGGCCAGAAGGAAGCAUCUCCAUGGGCCAUCAAACAGAGGAUGUUAUUGGGUUUUGUGUUGACUUCAUUCCUGGCCUUAACAAGAUAGGUCUCCCUAAAUCGCGGUAUGAGGGGAGACUGACUGGAAAAGGCAUUCUUGGAAGAGACUCAAUAAUAUGCAGGGACGGAUAUUCUUGGUCUCAAGCACACUACACAGUUCUACAGAACUCUACCUUGGUGACCCCGUAUGUCGAUGAACACAAGAACAGUCUGCGCUCCAAACACCCGGAGCAGUGCGACGACUGGAUUACAUGUGAACACACCAGGACUUUCAGCAGUUGGUUGGAAACACGUCUCAGAGGUGACAACACUGUUUGUGAUGAGUUGUACUUGUUUUCCAGGGGACCAUCUUUGACUGUAUUGACUUACAAAGGAUACGAGAUAAAUGGGAAUACAUUUUACACGAUCGCCCAAGAUCAAAAGAUCACCAACCAAAACAGCGGUGUCCGCUUUGAUGCAGCAACCGAGAGCGGAAAGGAUACAUAUUAUGGUUACAUAGUGGACAUAUGGGAACUUGACUACGGACAAGUCCCUCUGUUUAAGUGCAAAUGGGUCAAUCUGUUAGGCGGCGGGGUACAGGUAGACCCACAGUACGGAAUGACAACAGUGGAUCUGAAAAAUCUUGGGUACACUGACGAACCGUUCGUCCUAGCCAAUGAUGUGGCACAGGUUAUCUAUGUGAAGGACAUGUCUACCAAACCGAGAAAAAGAAAAGAUAAGGAAGCGAAUACAUCAUACGAUGAGCCAAAGCGCCACAUAAUUCUUUCAGGAAAAAGGGACAUCCUGGGAGUGGACGGCAAGACAGACAUGUCUGAAGAUUAUGAAAAGUUUCAUGAAAUUCCUCCCUUCAAUGUCAAGGCUGACCCAAGCAUCCUGAUAAACAAUGAAGAUUAUCCAUGGUUACGGCGCAAUAAGCAAAUGACACAAGCGAAGAAAAAGUGAAGACUUUCUCCCGCAACUACUAUGAUGAUACCAUGCCAACUUUGUAACACACGAACAUGCUACCAUUGUCCAUUUUGUACAUGCACAUGCUAUGUGGGUAAAAUUAUGAUACCAUCCCAACUUUCAACUUUUUCAGAGUUCAUUUGAAAGUGAUUGUCCAUUUUGUACACGAAGUGCAUCAAGUUUUCUCUAUAAGCGCAUAUAUUCUCAUUUUUUUAGUAAGUUAAUCACAAAAAGUGUUUUCAAAUUUGAAAACUAAUGGCACUAACAGAAAGUUUAUAAUUUUUCUAAAACCAAUGGCACUAACAGAAAGUUUAUAAUUUUGCUAACCUAAAAGCAAACAGAAUUANNNNNNNNNNNNNNNNNNNNNNNNNNNNNNNNNNNNNNNNNNNNNNNNNNNNNNNNNNNNNNNNNNNNNNNNNNNNNNNNNNNNNNNNNNNNNNNNNNNNNNNNNNNNNNNNNNNNNNNNNNNNNNNNNNNNNNNNNNNNNNNNNNNNNNNNNNNNNNNNNNNNNNNNNNNNNNNNNNNNNNNNNNNNNNNNNNNNNNNNNNNNNNNNNNNNNNNNNNNNNNNNNNNNNNNNNNNNNNNNNNNNNNNNNNNNNNNNNNNNNNNNNNNNNNNNNNNNNNNNNNNNNNNNNNNNNNNNNNNNNNNNNNNNNNNNNNNNNNNNNNNNNNNNNNNNNNNNNNNNNNNNNNNNNNNNNNNNNNNNNNNNNNNNNNNNNNNNNNNNNNNNNNNNNNNNNNNNNNNNNNNNNNNNNNNNNNNNNNNNNNNNNNNNNNNNNNNNNNNNNNNNNNNNNNNNNNNNNNNNNNNNNNNNNNNNNNNNNNNNNNNNNNNNNNNNNNNNNNNNNNNNNNNNNNNNNNNNNNNNNNNNNNNNNNNNNNNNNNNNNNNNNNNNNNNNNNNNNNNNNNNNNNNNNNNNNNNNNNNNNNNNNNNNNNNNNNNNNNNNNNNNNNNNNNNNNNNNNNNNNNNNNNNNNNNNNNNNNNNNNNNNNNNNNNNNNNNNNNNNNNNNNNNNNNNNNNNNNNNNNNNNNNNNNNNNNNNNNNNNNNNNNNNNNNNNNNNNNNNNNNNNNNNNNNNNNNNNNNNNNNNNNNNNNNNNNNNNNNNNNNNNNNNNNNNNNNNNNNNNNNNNNNNNNNNNNNNNNNNNNNNNNNNNNNNNNNNNNNNNNNNNNNNNNNNNNNNNNNNNNNNNNNNNNNNNNNNNNNNNNNNNNNNNNNNNNNNNNNNNNNNNNNNNNNNNNNNNNNNNNNNNNNNNNNNNNNNNNNNNNNNNNNNNNNNNNNNNNNNNNNNNNNNNNNNNNNNNNNNNNNNNNNNNNNNNNNNNNNNNNNACCUAAAAGCAAAAAGAAAUCACUAAAAAACUGUAAGUAUUUAGUUUUAAGUAGAAAUAAAAAAAUAAAAAACCAAAAAAAUGUAGAAAUAAAAAAGAAAAAACCAAAAAAAUGCCACCUACUGGGCCUCCACGGCCUGAAUACGACUAUAAACCCUACAUGGGCUAGGAUUCAGGCCCGCAGAAGGCCCAAUAGGCCCACAGGCAGUAACAAGUUUAGGCCCGAAAGCCUGCAUUAGAGAGGAGAUUGAAUGGGGAGGCACACCAGCGCUUAUAAACAAGUGCCGGCGCCCUUCAGCUAGCGAUGUGGGACUAAACUUUUGGGCGCGGGCAGCACAAGUCCAUUGGUCCCGGUUGGUGGCACCAACCGGGACUAAAGGGAGCAUUGGUCACGGUUCGUGGCACCAACCGGGACCAAUGCCCCCCUUUAGUCCCGGUUCGUGCCACCAACCGGGACCAAAGGCCGCCGCUUCCCGCCCUUUGGGCUGCUGAAAAUUGGCCUUUGGUCCCGGUUCGUGGCACCAACCGGGACUAAAGGGAGCAUUAGUCCCGGGUCGUAGCAUGAACCGGGACCAUUGCUCUGGCUAUAUAAGCCAACACUUGUGAAAUUUUGGCCAACCGCCAUUCUCCUCUCCAACGCCGCCAGGCUGCUGCGCUGCUCCUCGACGCCGUCAUCGCCGUCGCCUCCCCUAGCCGCCCGAGGUCGCCGUCGCCGCCCGCUCGCCGUCGCCUGUGCCCUCGCCCGACGCCGUCAUCGACGUCGCCCUGCCCCGCCCCAUUCCUCGCCGCCGAACGCGCGCCCCCUGCCCCGUCGCCGUCCUCGCCGCCGAACCCGCACCCCUGCCCCUCCCUUGGUCCGGCCGGCGCUGCCCCUCCCCUGUUCCUUUUUUUCAUAUAUUAUAUGCUUGUUUUUUUUCAGAUUAUAUAUAUAUGUAUAUAUGUGAGUAUAUGUAUUGUGUAUGCUGCUUCUUUUCAGAUUUUUUUUCAUACAUAUGAUGAUUUGUAUUUNNNNNNNNNNNNNNNNNNNNNNNNNNNNNNNNNNNNNNNNNNNNNNNNNNNNNNNNNNNNNNNNNNNNNNNNNNNNNNNNNNNNNNNNNNNNNNNNNNNNNNNNNNNNNNNNNNNNNNNNNNNNNNNNNNNNNNNNNNNNNNNNNNNNNNNNNNNNNNNNNNNNNNNNNNNNNNNNNNNNNNNNNNNNNNNNNNNNNNNNNNNNNNNNNNNNNNNNNNNNNNNNNNNNNNNNNNNNNNNNNNNNNNNNNNNNNNNNNNNNNNNNNNNNNNNNNNNNNNNNNCUUGCUUUUUCAGAUUAUAUAUAUAUAUAUAUAUAUGUAUAUAUGUGAGUAUAUGUAUUGUGUAUGCUGCUUCUUUUCAGAUUUUUUUUCAUACAUAUGAUGAUUUGUAUUUUGCUUUUUUAUAAAAAUGUAUAUAUGUUUGUAUGUUCUCUGUGUAUAUAUGUUCAUAUAUGCAAAACAGUUAGAUUUGUAUAUUUAGAAAAGGAUUAUCUAUAUAUGUUCUCUGAUUUAGUACAUUUUAGGUUAGUUUCAUUUUUAGAAAAGUUUUAUAUAUUUAGGAGAGGAAAAGGAAAAUAAGAAGAGGAAAAAGGAGAAGAAGAGGAGAGGAAGAAAAGGAAGAGGAGAAGAAGAAAGGAAUAGAGGAGAAGAAGAAAAAAAUAGAAUUUAUUCUAUUUUUUCUUCUUCUCCUCUAUUCCUUUCUUCUUCUUCUCUUUUUUUUCUUCUUUUUUUUCUUCGAUCUUCUCCUCUAUUCCUUUCUAUAUGCAAAAGUUACAAUUUUAGAAAAGUUUUAUAUAUGCAAAAGUUACAAUUUUAGAAAAAGAAGGAUAGGAAAGAAGAAAAUAAGAAGAGGAAAGAAAGAAGAAGAGGAGAGGAAAAGAAGAGGAGAAAUAAAUAAUUANNNNNNNNNNNNNNNNNNNNNNNNNNNNNNNNNNNNNNNNNNNNNNNNNNNNNNNNNNNNNNNNNNNNNNNNNNNNNNNNNNNNNNNNNNNNNNNNNNNNNNNNNNNNNNNNNNNNNNNNNNNNUCUUCUUAAUUUUUAUCGGGAACGAGGGUGUCAAGGAUCGCCGAGGGGUCGAGGGUCGGGAACUAGGGUAGAGGGUCGAGGGUCGUUAAGGGGUCAAGGGUCGAGGGUUUCAGGGUCGAGGGUUCGAGGGUUCUAUAGGGUCGAGGGUCGAGGGUUCCAGCAGGGUCGUCUAGGUGUCGAGGGUUCCAGGGUCGUCGAGGGUUCGAGGGGUCGAGGAUCGCCGAGGGGUCGAGAGAGGUUUCCUAGUGUCAAAGAAUUGAAGAAAUCCAUGCCUUCAUCAUUAGCCGGAAGUAACCAGGGCAUGUUGGUACGAAGUUCUGCAAAGUUGUUCUGGAAUGGAGUCCCGGAUAGAAUAAUCCGCCUUUUGGUACGAAUUCAGCAAAGGCCUUCCAAAUAGAGAUAUUCGGAAGGCUCUUGCUGAACUUUGUACCAAAAAGCGAAUUAUCCUAUCUAGGACUCCGUUCCAGAACAACUUUGAAGAGCUUCGUACCAUCAUGCACAUGUUACUUUCGCCUAAUGAUGAAGACAUGGUUUUGUUGAAUCCUUUGACACUAGGAAACCUCCCGACCCCUCGGCGAUCCUCUCGAACAUGAGAGGAAGAAGAGGGUCGUCUAGGGGUCGAGGGUUCCAGGGUCGUCGAGGGUUCGAGGGGUCGAGGAUCGCCGAGGGGUCGAGAGAGGUUUCCUAGUGUCAAAGUAUUGAAGAAAUCCAUGCCUUCAUCAUUAGCCGGAAGUAACCAGGGCAUGUUGGUAAGAAGUUCUGCAAAGUUGUUCUGGAAUGGAGUCCCGGAUAGAAUAAUCCGCCUUUUGGUACGAAUUCAGCAAAGGCCUUCCAAAUAGCGAUAUUCGGAAGGCUCUUUCUGAACUUUGUACCAAAAAGCGAAUUAUCCUAUCUGGGACUCCGUUCCAGAACAACUUUGAAGAGCUUCGUACCAUCAUGCACAUGUUACUUUCGCCUAAUGAUGAAGACAUGGUUUUGUUGAAUCCUUUGACACUAGGCAACCUCCCGACCCCUCGGCGAUCCUCUCGAACAUGAGAGGAAGAAGAUGAUAAAAAAAGAAGAGGAAGAAGAAAAAAAAGAGGAGCAGAAAGAAUAGAGGAGUUCUUCUCCUCUAUUCUUUCUUCUCCUCUUUUUUUUCUUCUUCUUCCUCUUUUUUUAUCGGGAACGAGGGUCGUUGAGGGACAUGGAUGUAGUGUCGUCGUUGUCGAUAUAUACCCCCUCCCGAUAGCUUACUAUGAUUAGGUAGCUAGUUCUACGUUUGGCACUAAUAUAUCCAUCUGUCAUGUUUGAAUAAUAAUUGCCAUGUUGUAAAUAUUUGUAGAAACUAUGGACACCGCCCUAGACGAAGCAAAAGAAGCGUUGUUGAGGGACAUAAUCACAGAAGGAAGUGAUGCCAUCUCAUUGUUUCUCCACGAAACCGAUGGUCUGGAAGGAGAGGGUGAACAAGCUGGCUACGGUGACCUAAUGCCGGUGCAAGAACAAGAACAUGAGGACGGCUCCGGUGACCCAAUGCCGGUGUAAGAAGGAGACCGUGAUGACGGCUCCGGUGACCGAACCGAGUCCGGCCAGGUAUAUAUAUUAGUUAAGCCUAUGCUGACUAGCUGAUUGAUGCAUUCAUUGUUUUGGUAUGUACACAUAUUAAUUAAGUCUUUGUUCUUUUUUCUAGCCUUCCGGAUCGAGCACAACUUCGGUAAAGAGACGAGGCCCGAAGAAAAAGUUGAGCUCGGAUGAAAAGUUUGAGAUCAUAGCAAUCGCGCCCGACAGCCAACCUAUUGAACCCCUCAGGACAAAGAGCGCAUUUGUUGCUCAGUGCGGGGUUCUGGUUAGGGACAAGAUCCCGAUAAGCAUCCAGCAAUGGUUUAAGCCGGCUACAAAAGACCCUGAGGUGUCUUAUGUCAAUGAUAUGCAGAAAAAUGAUCUUUGGACUGAGCUGAAGUCAAAUUUCACCCUACCGCCAGAGGAUAAUCCAGAGAACCCAGUUAAAGAGAAAUUAAUCAAGUCUUUUGCUCUGAAGAGGAUGGCAGAACUAUUCAGGAGGUGGAAGAAAGAGCUGAAUAAGUUUGUCGAAAAUAAUGAGACACCAGAAUUCAAGGGAAGAUAUGAGAAGAUCAGAGAUCAUUGGCCCGCAUUUGUGGCCCACAAGACAUCGGAAAAGAGUAAGAAGAUGUCGGCGACAAACAAGCAAAUUGCUGCGAAGAAGAAGCUUCACCAUCGCACGGGGUCAGGUGGCUACCUCGUAGCCCGGCCUAAGUGGUCCAAGACUGAGAAUGAUCUGGUUCAUAAAGGGAUCGAACCAGAGACAAUUAACUGGCCAGACCGUUGCCGGACUUGGUUCUUUGGGGCUGGCAGAACCUUGGACCCUGUAACAGGGAAGUGCAUUUGGACGAACAAUCAAAUGGACAUACCAGUCAGUAAGCUUAAGAAGUAUAUCGAAGCAGCGCAGGAAGGGACGUUCUUUCCAGACAGAGAGAACGACGAGCUCACAAUGGCCCUCGGGAAUCCUGAGCACCCUGGACGGACACGAGGCACGGCAGGCUCCAUUCCAUGGAAGGUUGGGUUUCCGGACGCAGGCGGUUACAAAUCCCAUGAGAGGAGGAAAAAAGUGCAGCAGACCCAAAUGCAGGCGCUGCAAGCAAGGGUAGACGCGAUAGAGGAACGAGAAGCAAAUCGCAGCAAACGUACUGCCGAAGCCUCCCCCGAAGCUACCCCGCCAUCUCAGCGCAGAAGCAGCAUGGCUUCCACCGAGCUGCUUCAGCCGGAGCAUGCCUUGACGGCUCCUGCCAGCUAUCCCGUGGAUGCUAUCACGGAGUCUCAAAAUUGCCACCUUAUGACGCAAUGGAUGAAUUUGAAGGUCAAGGCGGCUGUUGGCUCUGUUUAUCCUACUAAACCCGGCGCAACUUUUCACUGCCGGCCGAUUCCAGAAGGAUAUGCUAGGGUGAUGGUGGAUGAAAUAACGGAGGGAUUUGAGGACCUCCAGCUUGACCACCCUACCGGUGAAGGGGAGACUCGGCUGGGGUCUGCUCUGAAGACUCCAUGCCUAUGGCGGAAGGAGCUCAUCAACCUUCCGAACUGGAUGCCUCCGCCUCCUCCUCCUCCUCCGGCGAGUCAGGGCACUCCGCCUCCUCCACCGCCUCCUCCUCCGGCGAGUGACGAUCUGGGCCCUCGGCCGGCUCCUUCUCCGGCGCGUGGCGGCACUCCGCCUCCUUCUCCGCCUGCGCCGACGCGCCCGAGCAGCCAGCCUCCUCCUUCUCCGCCUCGUCAGCAACGGCGGAAGAGACAUGCCGCCGCUCCAGCUACUCCGGCGCGUCGUAGUCCUUCUCCUCCGCCUCGUAAGCAAGUAAAGAAGACAACCGCUCUGUCUGCUCGGUCGGCGUCUAGCAGUACAACCAGAGGCGGGAGGACAUACAGAUUCGGUCCUUCUCUGAAGACUCCAGAGAAGUUACCAUAUGAGAGGACCCCGGAGGAGAACGCCAAGAUCGCGCGAACCGAAGUGGAUGACUGGUUUCAAGGGUUGAGAGCAAAGAGACAUCCACCUCUGGAGGAGAAGGUAGAUCCGGUGAAAGUGAAGCGCACUCUGGCUGCCCUGGCAAAACCACCCAAGUCUUCGCCGAAAGGCAACUAUGAGCGCAUUAUUGCAAAGACAUGGGCCGAAGCGGAGCGGUCGGGAAGUACAGUCAGUGAUCAAAGGCUGAAAGAACGACGAGCAGCUGGGAAACAAAUUGCCCAGCUCGGCGAACAAGCGAAGCAAUCGUGCCCCCCCCCUCAAGGUGCCUAGCGACAUCGUCGAUCUGAGGAUGGUGCCCGGUUAUGGCAAUGUUGACGAUUACCUGCCCGACGAUGUACAUUAUGAUCCCAUGGAGGUGCAGAUACACAGAUACGAGUACGGGAAGCCUCUCGUCAAAGAUGAAAAAUCUUUAACAACGAUGAUGCGAAGAUUACAUGAUUGGUACUUGAAAAUCUGCAGAGAGUCUGGGGGAGGAGUACUUUGUAUGCGAGAGUUAAGCCGGAGCAUGACCUCGUUGGAAUUGAACUGUUGCCUAUUCCAUUUGAAGAGUUCUAUCAGUUUUUCAAUUAAUUGGCCCUUGAUAAAACAACGAUCACCUGCUACUGUCUGUAAGUACUACUACUUCUGUCAUUAAGUCUCUUUAUAUAGCUCAUCUCUUUCAUUGCAUGUAUUUAUAAUUAUCCUCACUAUAUUAUGCAGAAUGAAGAUCGCCGAAUUGAAGAAAAGACAAAUCGGUGAUAUUGGGUUCAUUAACACAUAUCUCAUAGAUGCAACUGAGGUUCAACAUCGUCCCGGAGAUACCGAGGCCAACUUGCUACGAUCAUUCAAAAAAAUGAAAACAAAGAUAUAAUACUCUUUUCUUACAACUUCAAGUGAGUGUUACUGUCUUGUGCAUAUUCGGUUUCCCUUAUAUAUUAGUCCAGGUUAUAGUAAUGUAAUUGAUGAGUUAUGCAUGCGUGUUCAGUUUCCACUAUAUUCUCCUAGAGAUUAGGCUUGAGCAGGGAGUAGUAACCGUCUUGGACUCUAAACGAAAAGAUCCCCAGGAUUAUGCGGACAUGACUGAAAUCCUCAAGAAGUAAGUUAAAUUGAUCAUUAUCCACCAUAUCAGCAACUUUGUUCAUUUCCUGAUAUCAAGUAAUUGUUUUCUUUGUCCGGCAGGGUUUGGAGAAAAUUCACCAGAACAGUUCCGGGACUGCCGAAGGAGCUGGAAUUUAGACACCCAAAAGUAAGUACUAUAGUAGCAUGUUCCGCGCAUCUCCUAGUGAUUCAAGCGCUAGUUUCAUCAAUACCAUUUAGCAUUCUUGCUUAUCAGUUUGAUUGACCUCUAUUUCUUGUAAAGUGGUUGUGGCAGGAAAAAGGGAAUGAUUUCUGUGGAUACUACGUCUGCGAGUCCAUCCGCCACACGACCUGUGAGCGGGGCGGGUACUCUGACGAACAAUAUGAAGUACGUAAAUAACAACAUUCACAAUUUUAUUUUAUUACCAUCAUUUGUAUUGAGUUUCAUUCAUUCAUAUAUAUAUGUAUUGACCCCCUUCUUCAAAUUAGAUGUUUCGGAAGCGGGAUGAACUCCUAGCACCAGCUCGCAUGCGAGCAAUUCAAGAGGAAUUGGCGGCAUUCUUUCUUGACCAAGUGAUCGCUGAAGACGAAGACUACUAUGUGGACCAUGAGUCCGUAUGAUUAUAUUUGUAAGAGAUAAUUAUUGUAUAUAUGUACCCGAUAGUGUCGGAUAGAUAUACGAGAACUUGUUGUUCGACCAAUCUCUCGGAGAAGGCGAGGUGGUCGAUAUCACUUCUCUCUGUAUACAUAUAUGUUCAUGACGAUCUUCUGUUUCCUUCGUUUGCUUACUAGCUAACUAGCGUGUCUAGUCCUCUCUAUACGUAUGUAUAGUACGUAGCGUCGACCAAGUACGGACGUAAGAGAGGACACUUCUCUCUAUUAAUUAUAGCUAGCUAACACAAUAUAUGAAACACCUAAAUUAACNNNNNNNNNNNNNNNNNNNNNNNNNNNNNNNNNNNNNNNNNNNNNNNNNNNNNNNNNNNNNNNNNNNNNNNNNNNNNNNNNNNNNNNNNNNNNNNNNNNNNNNNNNNNNNNNNNNNNNNNNNNNNNNNNNNNNNNNNNNNNNNNNNNNNNNNNNNNNNNNNNNNNNNNNNNNNNNNNNNNNNNNNNNNNNNNNNNNNNNNNNNNNNNNNNNNNNNNNNNNNNNNNNNNNNNNNNNNNNNNNNNNNNNNNNNNNNNNNNNNNNNNNNNNNNNNNNNNNNNNNNNNNNNNNNNNNNNNNNNNNNNNNNNNNNNNNNNNNNNNNNNNNNNNNNNNNNNNNNNNNNNNNNNNNNNNNNNNNNNNNNNNNNNNNNNNNNNNNNNNNNNNNNNNNNNNNNNNNNNNNNNNNNNNNNNNNNNNNNNNNNNNNNNNNNNNNNNNNNNNNNNNNNNNNNNNNNNNNNNNNNNNNNNNNNNNNNNNNNNNNNNNNNNNNNNNNNNNNNNNNNNNNNNNNNNNNNNNNNNNNNNNNNNNNNNNNNNNNNNNNNNNNNNNNNNNNNNNNNNNNNNNNNNNNNNNNNNNNNNAACCGGGACUAAAGGCCCUUACGAACUGGGACUAUAGGCCCUUUUUCUACCAGUGCCCCCUUUAAAAAAAAAACAAAAACCCCAGCCACAGAAAUGCUGACGCGUGGAUGCCUAUUGGUCCCGGUUGGUGCCACCAACCGGGACCAAAGGCCCUCCUUCCUGGGCUCGGCGCACAGGCCACGUGGAGCCCCAUGUGUCCCGGUUCUGGACUGAACCGGGACUAAAGGGCCAGGGCAUUAGUAACGACCCUUUAGUCCCGGUUCAGAAACCGGGACAAAAGGCCCUUACCAACCGGGGCUAAUGGGUCGUUUUCUACUAGUGUAGCAACUUGGCGCAUCAAGAGAAAAUUGUCAUGCAAGCUUCAUUUUUUGAUAAAUGCAGACAGAUUGAGGGCCAGUAAGUUCUUCAUGUGCCUCACUCUGAUCACCGGCGACUUGGCAAACAGUUUGGACAUGCUAUGUGGCAAGCUGAUGGGUCGGAAGUCGCCCACGUUCUCCGCAUCCACUUUCUUUCUUUUAUUGAGGGGUUAAACCAAGCUUUAUUGAUCAAAGUUCACAUGUUGUGAAAUACAAAAUGGGUCAUAAGGCUCAACAAACCAUAUAUGUCGACCCUAAUCCAAGGAGUGUGAAAACUUGGCUAACCUAUAUAUCGGCAUCACCAUUAGUAGCUCUGCCUUCAAACUUAAAAAAAGGUUCAACAAAGAGCUCUUUGUUUAAUCUCGGAAAUAAUAGCACCUGAGCCACCUUGGUUAAAACAUGAGAUGUCGUUGAUAGCUUGCUUGGAAUCUGAUGUGAUGACAAUGUUCUGUAGCAUUAGAUCUUCAGCCAAAGCCAGACCCCCUCGGCAAGCUAUAGUCUCGAGCGUCGCAACAUCUGUAAUGCCCAUAAUCACCAAGGUAGAAUUUCCCAAGAAAUUCCAGGCAUCAUCUCUGCAAACUGCGGCUGCAGCCGCCCUUGCACAAUCAGGGCGCGAUUGGGCCAGUGAAGAUUUAGUUCAAGCUUGACUGGCGCCAUACAUAAAUAAAAGGGCUCGAUUUUUUUUAAUUUUUUUUGAGAAUCAAAAGGACUCGAUAAGGACUGCUCUCCGAUUCGAACCCUGCCGAAAGCCCUGGCAACCAAUAUACGUUUGGCAAAUUUGCUUUUUUUUUCUCUUUGGUCACGUACGUACUCCUGGCAGCGUAGAUAUUCUACUAUACUCCUUCCUAUACACCCCGCAAAAAAAAUACUCCUUCCUAUACUAUCUACUCGUAUAUAAUUAGGCAAGGGAGUCCGGGUCGUGUUGGAGUUGGAACACUGGCCGGAGUCGGUCGGUCUAUCUAUGAUCUAUAUCUAUCCUAUAUAAACAAGGAGAGGACCUGCAGGAGCGCAGCAUCAAUCAAAUCAAACCAUACAAGUCGGCCAUCAAUGGCGCCGUGGUCUGAACUCCCAGAGGACCUCCUAGCCCAGGUCUUUGCGCGCAUCUUUUUCCCUGCCCAUCGUGCUUACUUUCAGGCCGUGUGCCGUUCUUGGCGCUCUGCAGCGCGGCCCCCUGCGCGGUAGCUUCCGUGGAUCGUGUUCCCGCAUGGUGGGGUCAUGAUCCCCUUUAACCGUGCUAUGCACCGUGCCGUCUCCUACCCCAAAGCCAUAACGAGCUGCAUUGGUAUGUCUCCCGCCGACCGUGCUCUGCACCAGUUUUUCUCCUUGCCCAAGACGAUGACUUGCUUUGGCUCUACCGAUGGUUGGAUCGCCAUCGACGACCGUGUGGGCAAGAUGCAUAGGAACUACUUGUUGCACAACAGUGUUUUCUGGCACGACAUUGUGUCUCCCCGAGUUGGACGCUGCCAUCAGCCAUGUUUCCAAGCUUUUCAACAUAUGCAAGGUGCUGUUGCGGUCCACCCCGGAUGACGUCAUUGCUCUCAUGACCAACCAUUGCAGUUGCCCCAUCAUCUUAACCCGGAUUGGGAAGGGUGUGUGGUUGCCCAAGUCUUAUGCAGCUUCCCUCGUCAGCAUCAUCGAUGUUGCUUUUCUUGGAGACAGACUUUACGGGGUCACCAAGGAUGAGGAUCUCGUCUUCCUUGACAUGGCCUUCAAUGAUAGCGGCGUACCCAUGGUUACCGGUGGCAAGUGUGUCAUCGGAGAAGGUUUUGACUAUGAUGAUUAUGGCGACCAUGACACAAAGUAUGAUGACUUGACCAAGAUGACCAAGAAGGAUAUGGUUCCUCAAGAAUACCAAUAUAUUGUUGUUGACAAGUCCAUGAAGAAUGACAUUGAAACCAUGUGGUACCUGAUCGAGUCGCGUGGGAAGAUGCUCAUGGUGAGGCGACAAGUGGUAUCGCCUUCUGAGUUCACUCACAAGGUAGAGGUUUUCGAGGCCGAUAUGAGUGCAGCCAUGUGGGUGCCAGUGGAGCGGGGCUAGAAGACCAGGCGCUUUUCAUCAGCAGACGGUUCAGCAAGUCUGUCUCUGCUGCUUUCAGCAGGGAGAUACAAAAAGAUGCUAUUUAUUUUGCUGACACAGAAGAUGUAUUCGACAUGAGGUCCCAAACAGUGAUUGCCGGCCAAGGGGAUGAUUUCGAUGACUACAACACAUACCUAAUGUUAGACUAUGUAUAACUUCUGUACCUAUGUACGUAUUGUAACACAACCAUUAUAUAUAAUGAGAUAAGCCACCCCUAGAGGGUUGUGCUGGUUCCCAAAACUUAUUGUCUUACAUGGUAUCACGCUAGGUUACGAUCGCUUCCGCUUCUAAACCCUAAUACCCGCACCGCCGCCGCAGCCGCCGCCGCCUUCACCGCCGCCGCCGCGCCACCGAUCGCGCCGCCGCCAUGUCGAGCGCCGCCACCACCGGUUCCACUGCUGCGGGCUUCCUCCCGGCCUCUCUUGCGGCUCUGCUCAACCUCCCGCUCGAUGCCGUCUCCGUUCCGGCUCCGAUCGGGACAAGGAGCAUCAGCUCCGUCUUCUCCACGCCGCCGGCGCCCUCGCUCGGGCGUGACCUCGUGGUCCACACCGCGGCGCUGCCGUCCGCUGCGGAUUCCGCAGGCGUCGUCCCGCCGCUCCUGCCGCGAGCGGAUCACACCGCCCCGCUGGCGGGGUUGGCGGCGUCCGCCCCGGCCGCGGGCCUUGCGGCGUCCGCACCGGCCGCGAGCUUUGCGGCGCCCGCCCUGGCUGCGGUCCCGCCUCCUCCCGCAUCGGCUUCGGUGCCUCCGGCUGCCUCCAUGGUGUUUGCACCCCAGGCAGCCUCCUCGAUGGGAUCGUCUUCGCCGCCGCCGUUUCACUUCGGUCAUCUCAUCACCAUCAAGCUCUCCGCAGACAACUACAUCUUCUGGCGUGCCCAGGUUCUCCCGCUUUUGGGGAGUCACUACCUGCUAGGCUACGUCGACGGAUCGCUUCCCUGCCCACCCGCGCUGGUAGACAGCGUGCACGGUCCGGUCUACAAUCCGGCCCAUCGCGUCUGGACGGGGCAGGACCAGGCGAACCUCUCCUCCAUCCAGGGGUCACUCUCGCCAGCAGUUGCCGGCCUUGUUGUCUUCGCGAAGACGUCUAAUGAGGCCUGGACCAUCCUUGAGCGCACCUUUGCAGUGCAGUCCCAGGCUCGUGUCUCUGUACUCCGUCGUCAGCUUGGAGAGUGUCAGAAGCUUGACUCCACGGCCACUGAGUUCUACAACAAGGUCAAGGGCCUUGCCGACACAUUGGCCUCCAUUGGACAGCCCCUCACCGACUCCGAGUUCAACUCGUUUAUUGUCAAUGGUCUUGAUGAGGAGUAUGAUGCCUUAGUCGAGAUCAUCAACGAGCGGGGUAACUCGACACCCAUGUUGGCACACGAGGUUUUCUCUCGGCUUCUUCUCACUGAGCAACGGGUCGAGACUCGCCGCACCAGGGGCACUGGCUCUCUCUCGGCCAACGUCGCCACCAAGGGUGGCCGCUCUUCUUCAUCACCCCGGUCUCCCUUGGGGCUGCCACCGUCGCCCGCCUCGGCCCCCCCACCUACUGCGACCUUACCGGGGGCUGGCGGUCCACGUGUGUGUCAGCUUUGUGGCCGCGAUGGGCACUGGGCCUCCAAGUGUCAUAAGCGCUUCUAGCGAAGCUUCCUUGGUCUUGGCAAUGACGGCAAAGAUACACGGAACAAUGCCCGUCAGGUCGCCAUGGCUGAUCGUCCCGCGCCGCAGAAGCACCAGGGACACACUCAGUCCUACUGCAUCGAUCCACACUGGUACAUGGACUCUGGGGCGACAGAGCAUCUGACCAGCGAGCUGGGGAAGCUUCACACUCGUGAACCCUAUCAUGGCUCCGACAAGAUCCACACCGCCAAUGGAGCAGGUAUGCACAUCUCUCAUAUUGGUCAAGCAUCUCUUCUCACUAGACAUGCCAAUAGGAGUCUUCAGCUUCGCAAUGUUCUUCGCGUUCCAUCUGUGACCCGCAAUCUUCUUUCAGUUCCUAAACUCACACAUGAUAAUAAUGUGCUUUGUGAAUUUCACCCUUUUGAUCUUUUUAUUAAGGAUCGGGGCACGAGGGACAUUCUUCUUAGUGGGCGGUUGUGCCAGGGCCUCUACCGUCUGGAGCAUCCUGGUGUCGCUCGCGUUUUCAGUGGAGUUCGGGUAUCUCCGUCACAGUGGCAUGCUCGUCUUGGUCACCCGGCCACACCUAUUGUCCGUCAUAUUUUGCGUCGUCAUGAGCUUCCUAGUUUGUCUAGUAAUAAAUAUGUAGCAGUGUGUGAUGCUUGUCAGCAGGGGAAGAGUCAUCAACUUCCUUUUUCGGAGUCCAGUCGUGAGGUGAAACAUCCGUUAGAACUUGUGUUUUCAGAUGUAUGGGGUCCUGCUCAGACUUCUGUCAGUGGUCAUAAUUACUAUAUCAGUUUCGUUGAUGCUUAUAGUCGCUUUACCUGGCUUUACCUUAUUAAACGCAAAUCUGAUGUGUUUGAUAUUUUUGUUCAGUUUCAAAAACAUGUUGAACGUCUUCUCAAGCACAAAAUUGUUCAUGUCCAGUCGGACUGGGGGGGGGCGAGUAUCGCAACCUCAACUCCUUCUUUCAGUCGCUCGGGAUAGCUCAUCGUUUAGCAUGUCCACAUACACAUCAGCAGAAUGGUUCAGUCGAACGUAAGCAUCGUCAUAUUGUUGAAGCUGGUCUUACUCUUUUGGCCCAUGCAUCUGUUCCGUUUCGGUUUUGGAGUGAUGCUUUCACCACUGCAUGCUUUCUCAUCAAUCGUACUCCUACUCGUGUUUUAAACAUGAAGACUCCCAUUGAGGUUCUCCUUAAUGAACAACCUGAUUAUACCUUUCUCAAGGUAUUUGGGUGUGCUUGCUGGCCGCAUCUUCGUCCAUAUAACAAGCGCAAGCUUGAGUUUCGUUCUAAGAAGUGUGUUUUCCUUGGCUAUAGCUCUCUUCAUAAAGGUUACAAAUGUCUUCAUGUUCCCACUAAUCGUGUCUAUAUAUCUCGGGACGUCGUGUUUGAUGAGCAUGUUUUUCCCUUUGCCAACCUUCCUGUGUCCACUGUCGAACCACCAUCCCUGCAUUCAUCCUCUGUUGCUUCUGACCAAUUUGAUGAUGUUGCAUACUCUCCUUUGCUGUUACCUAACCAUGGUGCAGGAACCGGACGUGGAGCUCGUUUGGAGCUGUUGGAGGAUUCACCAUCAUCAUCGUCGUCUUCUGGUGGGCAUGUCGAUCGCCCUCUGUUGCAUGGCAUCAAUUCGCGUGCCCAUGCAUGGUCACCCGAGAGCCCGUCGCGCCGAGCAUCUCCACUGUUCGGUCUGCUACGCCAGUGAUCGCCGAGUCUCCAGCGGCUCGGCCUUUUUCGCCAGCGGCCGCCGAGUCGCCCGUGUCUCGGCCCGUCACGCCGUCUUCGCCCGCGGCUCGGGUCCUCACGUCGCCUUCAUCAGCGGAUCGGCCCGCGACACCGGCCGCGCCACGGCCCACUAUGUCGAGCUCGCCAUCGGCCCAGUCUGGGAUGCCGGAGUCGCCAGCUGCUUCGUCUGCUCUGCCGGUUUCGCCGGUGGGCCGGCCUUCUUCGCCGACUGAGUCCGAGGCUACCGUGCCUGGCUCCUCGUCACCGGCUGACUCGUCAACGUCGCCGUCCUCCAGCCCGUUGCAGGCUGCUCCGUCGACCUCGGUGGUUCCUGUGUCUCGACCACAUACACGCAGUCGCAGUGGCAUUUUCAAACCUAAGGAACGUACGGAUGGUACGGUUGCUUGGUUGGCUGCUUGUUUGGCUGCUGCUGUUGCGGAUCCAUCUUCUGAGCCUCGCUCAUAUCAGGCUGCCCUGCGCAUUCCACAUUGGCGAGAGGCUAUGGAGCAGGAGUUUCAUGCUCUCCUUCGUAACAAGACAUGGACUCUCGUUCCUCCACCACCACGGGUAAAUGUUAUUGACUCAAAAUGGGUAUUUAAAGUGAAGAAGCAUUCGGAUGGAUCUAUUGAGCGUUACAAAGCGCGACUUGUUGCUCGCGGUUUUCGGCAGCGUCAUGGCCUUGACUAUGAGGACACCUUCAGUCCUGUCGUCAAGCCUACCACUAUUCGGCUUCUUCUCUCCAUUGCUGUUUCUCGUGGUUGGUCCCUUCGUCAACUUGAUGUGCAGAAUGCUUUUCUACAUGGAUUUUUGGAGGAAGAGGUUUAUAUGAAACAGCCGCCUGGUUUCUCUGAUCCUGAUCGUCCUGACUAUAUCUGUCGUCUUUCCAAAGCACUAUAUGGUUUGAAGCAAGCUCCUCGUGCCUGGCAUGCCCGCCUUGCCUCUGCCCUUCGUGCUCAUGGGUUUGUGCCGUCCACUGCUGACACUUCAUUAUUUCUUCUACAGAAGCCAGAAGUCACUAUGUAUCUUUUGGUAUAUGUCGAUGAUAUUAUCCUUGUCAGCUCUUCUCAGUAUGCUGCUGAUGCUCUUGUCUGCUCUCUUGGUGCUGAUUUUGCGGUCAAAGAUCUUGGGAAGCUUCACUACUUUCUUGGAGUUGAGGUCACUUCUCGUGCUACUGGUCUUGUCCUUACGCAGAAGAAGUACUCCUUGGAGUGUUACAAAAAGCCGGCAUGCUGAAGUGCAAACCGACCACCACACCCAUGUCGUCUACCGACAAGAUAACAGCUGUUGAUGGUGAGCUUUUGUCUCCUGCGGAUGCCACAGAGUACAGAAGCAUUGUUGGUGGACUUCAGUACUUGACGAUCACGAGACCAGAUAUCUCUUAUGCUGUUAACAGGGUUUGUCAGUAUCUUCAGGCUCCCAGAGAUACUCAUUGGGCUGCUGUUAAACGCAUUCUUCGUUAUGUUCAGUUCACCCUGACUUUUGGUAUGCAUAUUCGGCCGACUUCCUCUCGGGUCCUUUCGGCCUUCUCUGAUGCAGAUUGGGCUGGUAGCCCAGAUGACAGGCGAUCCACGGGGGGUUAUGCAGUAUUCUUUGGCUCUAAUUUGAUCGCCUGGAGUGCUCGGAAACAGGCUACUGUGUCACGUAGCAGUACUGAAGCUGAGUACAAGGCUGUGGCUAAUGCUACUGCAGAGAUUAUUUGGGUGCAGUCUUUGCUUCAGGAGUUGGGUUUGUCUCAACCACAGCCUCCUAUUCUUUGGUGUGAUAACAUCGGUGCUACAUACCUUUCUGCAAAUCCAGUAUUUCAUGCCCGAACGAAACACAUUGAAGUUGACUAUCACUUUGUACGGAAACGUGUAUCACAGAAGCAACUUCAGAUCAAGUUUAUCUCGUCUAAGGAUCAACUUGCAGAUAUCUUCACUAAGCCUUUACCACUGCCACAGUUUGAGGCUUGUAGGCGCAAUCUUACCCUUCUCAGUUCUUUAGAAAGUGGCUAAGAUUGAGGGAGGGUGUUAGACUAUGUAUAACUUCUGUACCUAUGUACGUAUUGUAACACAACCAUUAUAUAUAAUGAGAUAAGCCACCCCUAGAGGGUUGUGCUGGUUCCCAAAACUUAUUGUCUUACACCUAAGGUUAUCCAAGUCGAGGGAGCUAACGUGGGUCUUUCCUCCGGAGCUAGUAGCUUAAUUAGUUAUUAUUACUCCCUUGUUACAUUUUCUUUUUGUCGUUAAUAAUUGUACGAUCGAUUAGCGCGACUGCAUGCAUGCAAUAAAAUGUGUUGACAUUUGCUGGGAAAAAUAUGUAUAUGUAUGAACAGAGUGGUUGUACGAUUACAUCGGGUCACACUAAUCAAUCACAUCACAUCACAGAUCCUUCCACAACGAAGCAGCUAGUUCUUCCUUUCUCGCCAAACAAGUCCUGCUAAUCAGAAGCUAGCCGAUAUGUUGGUAGCAGCGCUUGUUGUCAGUUACACUUAAAAUCAUCAGACAGUCUUGAAUAUUUUGGUCGAGAAAUUUGCCUUCGGGCAAUAUGUUUUUUCACGCCCUCUGGUUGCGACUGCCGACGAGACCUCCUCGCUGGCGCCUUCAGCACCCGCUCGCUUUCCUGGCGUUCACGCGCCCCCUAGUGGGCUGUGGCCCAUUCGCUUGAUCGGUCCUCGCUCGACCUGCUGCUGCUCGCUCGCUCGAUCGGUGCUCGCUCGUUUAGUACCUUUUUUUCUUCUUCUUGAGAGCACUUGUCAAAAGAGCCUUGUUGUUUAAAAAGGAAAAAAAGAGAGCAAUAAAUCGAAAUAAACCGUGAAUUAAAACAUGGACAUGAAUUUUCAUAAAAGUUCACCAAAAUUGAAAAACAUUUCAUCGAAUUUGAAAACUAGUUCAUCGGUUUUGAAACAAAGUUCAUCGACUUUGAAAAACUUCAUCAAAUUUGAAAAACAAAUUCAUCGGAUUUGAAAAAGUUCAUCUAACUUGUAAAAAAGUUCAUUGAACUUGAAAAAAGUUCAUCGAAUUAGAAAAAAAAAA
rnacentral:lncRNA from 1 species